rnacentral:lncRNA from 1 species
AGCAUGUACUGAGUCGGGGCCAGUACCAGAUAAGCACAUUAAACUAUAAUCCAUAAACGUAAGGUAACAACCGAGACCUAAUGGUGCUGUGACAGCAACACGAUUGAGUUUGAGACAGUGAAAAUACAUAUGGUAUGUUGUAUCUGAACAGGUUAGCUUACGAGCUAAAGUUACUUAGCACAGAUGAAAGUUAAAACAAAGACGUUUAACAAACUGUUAAAGCACACAAACCAUCGUCAUAUGAGAAAUCCGACACUAUGACUCUCCACAAGUUGUCCUUCAGGUUGUUAUCUUUGUAAUAUUUGUGUCUUUUAUCAAAAAGCACUCUGUUCUUCGACACGUAAACAAUCAGCCGGUCGGCCAUGUUGGAUAUACCAGUGAAUCUGACGUCGCAACAACACGCAAUCUGAUUGGUCAGAAGUGGACACACACGAAGUGAAACUUUAGAAAAAUUGACUGUGAAACAAAAAAAUAAAUGCCGCAAUAUCGCAGGAUGGAAAAACGUUGCUGAUGUGAACGCUUGUAUUGACAGGAUACGGGUUCGAAAAAAAAAUUGACGUCUGAAAUAAUCGCACGAAAAAAACGCUAUCUCACACUUGCAGACCCUCAACACCUAAUGGCAUACAGACUCAUACGAUGAACUAAAGCCCUAUUCUAUUGUUCUUAACAGCUGUAUUGACAAAUUCAGCCUCUGGACAGCCAUUUCCAACCAUUUCCCUCGAAGUCCAUCUGUUUUUUUCUGUGAAAAAGAUGCAUUUCUCAUUUAUUCUUUUCAAAGUUAUGAUACUCAUGACAAUGUGAUGCUGAUGUACCAAAGGAUUAAGUAUCUCCAUAUUUGUGAAACCUCUACAGAAGUACAAUUCAUCUAAAUGCUCCACAGCCCUCAUUUUAACAACUCUCCUCCACAACAGGUAACGUUACUACUCUAUCCUCAUAAAUUAAUGACUUUAUUCUCGUAAGUAAUGACUUUACCUCAGUCUAAAAAAUAUUUUUUUUCUUAAUGUGGCCCUUAUGCUUCAUUGUAUUUAUUAGAUUAUUUUACUAAUACAUUAUCUUCAAAAAUCUCACUCCAAGCUUAGUUCAAAACUUGAAAGCCCUAAAAACACCUUUAUUAUGGUGUAAAAUGUUUGACCUAAGAAUAAGAACUCAACUGCAUAAGGAAAAAGUGUUCACAGCACCAACAAAGGAAAGUGUCAGAUGGCGCAAACACUGCAAAGUAAAAAAAAAAGGGACAAAAUAAACUCUGCUUUGUUUGGCGUCACAGAACAGCAGACCGAGAAACGUCUCAGAAAUCAAGGUUUCAAAGAAAUCUGAAAUAAUUAAAAGUAAAACCUCGUUAAAAAAAAAAAAAGAUCAACAGAGCACCACAGAGAAAAUGUUUCCCUUGUUGUGACAGCUCAUCCCACGAGGGUGACAUCCAAUGUGCUACGUGUUACAUUGUGAGUUUAUAGUCAUUUCUGCAGGCAGCCAAGAGGUGGAGGAAGUGACCUGAAAUCCAUUUUCAGUACCAAAUUUGUUAAACAGGACUGUGUGACUCAUUCCAGACGAAAUGUACGGACGGAGAAGUUCUUACGGCCGGGACAAGACAUCAUUAAGCUCCCUGCGUUUUCAGAUGAAUACCUGCCAUCUGUGCGGCUCGAGCGCAACAGAGGCUAAUGGCGGUCAGAGGUCGCGGAAGACCGGGUCCCGGGUGAAGCUUUUGUUGAUGUUGACCACGCUGCAAGCUCUUCAUGAGAGGAGAUGACUAAAAUGUACUUAUUUUUUACUCAAAGUGGAUGUUCCUACUGAUAGAGGGAGAGAGUGAUGGACGGAAACACGACAGAUGAACAUCUGCAGCAGCGACCCAGAGGAAGCAAGAGCGGGGACUCGCAGAGAACUGAGACCCAGACCACUUAGACCUCUCAGAUGACUGGUCAGCGGUCAAAAAUGCCUAAAAUCACUCAGUUCCUUUCAAAAGGAAUAUAAUAAAAGUUGUACUAUUUUAAGUUGCCUGCCUUGCCCUUACAUGCUUUGAUUCUAGUCGAUCAAGUGCUGCACAGAAAGCCGAGUAUUUUCUGCACCUGAGCAGCUGGUAGAUGACUUUCAAGAGUGCAAAGUAACAGGCAUUAGUAAACAUGAAAAAACUCCCACGCAACCUCUUCAAAUUCACACGUACAAUUACACAUUUGCUUCGGAGCCUCAAUUAAACCUGUGGGCGUUCUUGCAUAUAUCAAAGACAACAUAACCCUGUUUUUCCAAGUAGGUCCGACCUCUAUAUUCCAGUUUAGUCAAACACAAAUGCAUGCAUAAUUGCUGUCAAAACGUACAUGAAAGAGUGACUGAUUUAUUAUUCUUUUAGUAGACUUUAUAUUACACUUGCAGGUUUUAAACCAACGCGGCAAAGUAAGAGUUGGACUCUGGCUGUGAAAUGGAAAGAGAGGGACCUAAUCUUUGAUGUGGAGUGGAAUUGAGGGCUUCCUAAAAAGGAAUUAUUUAUUGGAAGACGUGAACAGAGACCAAAAAGUUAAAAGCAUCAUCUACAGCAACAGGUUAUAUAUUUAUAGAGUCUUUUAAUAUUCCUUUAAAGGAACAGAGUUGAUCAGCAUAUUCAGGUCGUCUUUAAUUGUAGGAGUGUCCACUGUAAUUCAGGUGGACAGGGUUCUUAAAGGGAUAUUCCGGCGUAAAAUCAAAUCAGGGUCAAACACACCGUAACACCAAGUUAGACACCCCGUCAAGAGAUGAACGUUGCUGACCGCUUGCUUCUCGGGAUAUACCAACUUUAGUAACAACCGCACAAUAGCAAUACACAGCGGUCUCAGGAGCCACGUGCUCAACCAAAACGCCACUCUAUAGCCACAAAUAAUGCUCAGAACAGCACCUAACUUCAUCAACAGUACAUUUAGGGUCCCAGCCAUAGCACUAGUCACCAAACAUCUUUUUAGCUUUGUCUAAUUUCUUUAGCGAAGAGACUAAACACAACUCACCUACUCUCUUCCAGCAGCUGCUUGUUUGAAGUGAGACCUCGGACGAGUCCAUUACUGCUGCGGGGUGACGCAGCUCAAGGAAAAACAUUUAUGAUAAUUUCUUCAUGGAAAUGCAAUCAGAUUGAGACACUAAGGCAGAAAAACUCGUCACCCCACUGCAGUCGGUAAUGGACUCGUCCGAGGUCUUGCUUCAAACAAGCGGCUGCUGGAGGAGAGUAGGUGAGUUGUGUUUAGUCUCUUUCCAAAAGAAACCAAGCAAAGCUAAAGAGAUGUUUGGUGGCUAGUAGUUAGGUGAAGUUAGGUGCUGUUCUGAGCAUUAUUUGUGGCUACAGAGUGGCGUUUAUGUUGAGCGCGUGGCUCCUCAGACCGCUGUGUAUUGCUAGCAUGCAGUCAUUAUAAAGUUGGUAUAACUGGGGAAGCAAGAGAAGCAAGAGGUCGGCAACAUUCACCCCUUUAACUCAGAAACUGCACCCAGAUCCAGGCGCCGUCUCAUGUUGUUUGUCCCGAAUUUUGCCUCUCAGGUUGCUUAAACUUCUCGGUUGAGUUACGUUUUAAAAAGAGCAGCAGAAAACCACACUCUCUUCCUUCGCUGCUUAUUCUUUCAGCAAAAUAAUAAAAUAAUCAUCUUUCUUAAUGACUCUUGAAGUAAACAUCAGUUAGAAAUACUUAAAAACCAACCUAAAGGUUCCUAAAGUCUUUGCCUUGCGUGCUUUACUCAUGAAAAUUCAACAUUAAAAGGAAGUACAACACAGUUGGGAUAACAUCAGGCUAAAUUUGAGCGGAUGGGGACCUUAUUUUAUGGCCUUUGAUUCACCUCAAGCAAAUUGUUAUGAAAUUACAAUUUCAUUUAUCAUUAACUUUGCUGUGAUGCUGGUUGUAUUAAAAGUCUUCUGGUGCUGCUUGGAUAUCAUCUGCUUUUUAAUAAAGUCUUUUUGAUUUGGCUUGAUUAAUACGAGCGUGGGCUGUUCUUUACCUGGCGGCUGCUUCUAGUGAUUUAUUUGAAAUCUGAGAUGAUUAAAUCUCCUGCGAUGAGGUUUUCACUGGCGAUGAAACAGACCUAAAUUAAUAUAAACGCCUUUUAAUAACAAACAAAAGCAAACAAGACCAUCAGCGUAAAGAUGAGCUUUUUCCACAUUAUUGUUUUCGGAUUAUUACCGCCUUGGGGUAUGUGUCGGAUAAAGAGACACACUGCUAAAUCAGAGAGUCAGAAUGACACAGGACAACAAGAGAAAGGAGGUGGUAUUUUUUUCCACAAGAGGGCGCCAAAAUCCACCAACAAAAAACUCCUCACAGGAGCUUUAAAUGAAACAAAAUCUUGAGGCUCCUGAUCAGCCGCCAAUCUCCUCUGGUUCUGCUAGUUUAGACUGACUCCUUUUGUAGUAGACCUCCCGUUUGUCCUGCGCUCACUAAGAGAAUAUAAAUGAAGUUUAGCCCUGACUGACAGCAGAGGGAGCCCGGCACGUGUCUGAUCCACUGAAGAGCAUAUUUUCCUAUUGUGUGCCCACACACACGCAGCAAGAGUGAAAAAGAGAGAGAAACAAUUAAAGCAAAUGACAUAUGAUAGAUUGUCCUCCUUUUAUGUCUUAUUAUUCACUACAUCAAACUAGAGCAGCAACAAGCCUGCUGCUCCUCUCUGUCUUCUCUUCCUCCUCUCAGUCUCCAUUUGUUAUUGACCCAGUUUCCCGACUGUGUGAAGUCUUGCUGCCUGUUAUGUUCGGAUGAGGAGAGGAAGGUGGUGGUGGUGGUGUUGGGGGCAAAUGAUGUGUUGGAGAGAAAAGCUGUGUUCUAAAAGGAGAGCAGGGCAGAGAUUUUAGAGAUGGCAGCGAGCUCUUUCCACAGAAUCUUUUGAUUUUACCGGUAAUGAGUUCAGAGCCAAAGGCUGCCAUCCAGCUCCAGAAAUGGCUGCUUUUCUCCCUGCCCUCUGCUGCUACUAUAGACUGUCAUUUAAAGAGCUGAGUUCCCAGCGUCUGCUCUCCUUUGAUCCUUCUCCCGAACUUGUCUUUUGAUUUUAUAGGUAAAAACAGAGACUGAGAUUGACUUAAAACUACCUACAGAGUGCAAGAUAACAGGAAACUGUCGUGUUUAACUGGUGCCACCAAGUUGUUAUGGAGCAUUUACUGACAUACUACCAUCACAAUUAAAUCGAAACUGCAUGUUGGGACUGCACGGGAAUGGGACAUCAAUCAAAUGAAAGAAAACAAACUUAAAGAAACCACAAACUGAGAUAUUUAAAGGUCUAGUUGAAGGGGGAGCAAACACGUUAGAGGAAAAAGGAUCCUGUACGAGUGCUAGAUCGAUACAGCAUAGUAUCGCAAUAUUUUAUCUGGUAAUAUCUUGUAUCGUCUCAUUUAGCAAGUAUUGAUUUUUCAAAUUAAUUACUAAUAUGAAGUCAAAUUUAUGAUAAUGGAAAAAUAAAAUCAACUUUUUGUCAAGUGAGGUUGGCAGAGGUGACAUCACAGAGCAGCAGAAAGUUACUACAACAAAUAUAUAUAUUUAUAAAAGAAGUUUAUAAAACCCUUCGAAGCUCCACGGUUUUGUACGUAAGUUUCGACUUACUGAGUUACCGCCAAAUUUCACCACACCCAGAACGGCUCAGAUCCGGAAUGGCGGCGAUUUUCACUGUCUUCCAAUUCCUACCAAAACUGUUUGUGAGGCGAAUUUUGUGGUGGAUUACGGACAGCUUGAAUCGCAUGAUAACAAGUUGUCUUUAGCUACAUAGGCUAACCAUAUAAGCAGAGGAGGAAAUCUUCUAGACUCCGCAUCCUCUCAUUCAUGGUGUCAUCGGGAUGAAAUGCUGAAAUCAACCUUUCACCUGAUCAUCCCCAUCCGUUUGCGUGGUGUGAAAAACUAUCUGCCUUAAACACAGAGUGCUUUAAUUUGAAAAGAAAGCGGAUGUUUUAUUUUGUGUCUGUGCCCGACUUCCUUUCCAGCGUGGGCUAAUCUAUGCUUGCAUGCUCCAGCAUCUGGGAAAAAUCGAACUCUUGCGAUCACCUGCGGAUUUCGGCGAUCCAUAGCGGAACGGAAAGUAGCCGGUGGUAAUUGACACAUUAACUUGAAUGGUUACAAUCAGCCAUGAUCAGUGGAUACGGCCUAUUCGUAGCCGUUCUGGAUGUGAUGGAAAUUGGGGGUUAGAAGUGCAUAAAAGACCCAAAAAAACUCUCAAAAUUAACUAUAUGCGACUCCGUGACUCCAUCCCUGUGUAGUCCUGUCCUCUUUUUGGGAAGUCAGAAUAUGGCCACCUUAAUAUAUAUAUGUAUAAGGUUGGCAAGAUGUGCAGUAUGAAAAUAAAAUACUGUGUAAAUAAGACGGACCUAAAGGAAAGACAAAUGCUAAAUUAGCUAAACAGUUAAAAAAAUGUAUAAAUAAUAUAUGGUAAUAUAUGGUACCGCAAUACUUAGUGUAUUGCAAAUGUUAAAAAUCACAAUAAUACUGUAUCAUGACCCAAGUAUCGUGAUGAUAUUGUACUGUAGGGCUACGAGUGAUUCCCACACCUAACAAGUGCUGCCUUAAAGUUCUCUGUGUUUAUUUUAUUAAACGAUGCGCUGCAAAGAUGGUAAACACAAAGACAGAGACUUGGUGAAUUUGCUUAAAAUCACACUUGCUUAUCAUUUGAAGUUGAACAUGCAUGACUCUGACUCAACUCUGACACGAGAUUCCGUCUGUGAGGUUUCGCAGAAGUCUGAGCGCUGGCUUGGUUAAUUAAUGAUUUCUUUAUCUCUUUUCAGUGAGACUUAGACGACUCUCUGCCUUUUUUGAAAUUAUUGACCUACUUGGAAAUGCUGCUUCACUAACCCCAAAUGAACCUGCUUCAGUAUGUUCUCAUACAUUAGAGUAGAAUGAAGAAAAUUCAGAACAAAUUGGUGAUUGAAAAUAAACCAGAAGGCUGCAGAGAUGAAGAACCUUACUGUCCUCGUCUCCAGCCUCACAUCUCGAAUGCAUUCAGGCCAGAGCGACGCUAAAAAUACCGUAUAGAGAAAUAAAUUGGAGAGCCUGAAUUGUCCUUCUGCGUCCUGGAUCUCAGGUAGGAAGAGUCAGAACUGUCUAAACUUUCCCUUCGAUUUGCAUUUAUCUCCGAACAUGCCGCAUGCUAUUGCCAUUUGACUCCACCUCAUGGUUUUGAUCCUCUUGGAAAAGCACACCAAUUUCACAGCCGUGUUUUUUUUACAGAGAGCAAAGUAAUCCAGCCAAACAUUUUCCAUUUGAUGACAGUCCUUGCCUUUUAGCGGACGCCAAAGUGCCCCCCUGCUAUCAUUUUGACGUAGCUGAUUGUUAAUGACCAUUUUCCUCUUAGCCUCAAAAGGAUUUAUCCACUUUUAAUACAUUAAUCCAGUUAACAAUUUCAGGAACUGUCAUAUCAAUCUCUUGUUUUCUAAUCAGAUAAUGCAAAGACUCGGCACUCUCGGACCAUCUCGUUUAAUUUCAUUCGAAGCCGUGCCCUAUCCUUGGAAUUAGUUUAGCCAGAGCGGACCACAACUCUCAAAUAAAGACAAUUAAUGUCAUUUUACUUCCACGGGCAGCAAGCAAUCAUUGUUAUACACCAUAAGGGCAAAAAGUCAUGUGAAGUUCAGCUUUGACUUUCGUGAAAUCACAGCUGGCAGUUGUGUCUCAUCCUUUCCUGGGCUGUCAUAUACCAUGUUGCUGCUCUCACUGCAGGCGCCGAUCAGCGGCAAAGAAUUAGCUAUCAAAUUCUGACUCUCUGUCAACCCAUCCCCUCUAAAGUUUAUCUCCUCUGUCAAGGCGUUCGCUUGUUUAAUCAUAACUGUCUCCCCAUCCGCAGUAAUUGUUUCUACCCAGGAGGGGGUUUCAGAGGUUUAGGAAAUUGCCUUUUUAUGCUGCAUUAGUUCUCUUGCCAUUUAUUUGUCUCUCUUCAUUUCAGUUUUUUCUAUUUGGCUCGGAGUUGAUAUGCCUCUUUCUCAAUUUACUCCCUUCCACACCCCUUCAUCAAUUCUUCCCCGCCCGCCUCUGUCACUUCGGCCGACUCCAUCCUUUCAUUUUCCCUCUGUGGUCAAAUCCGCUGCAUUUGUUUCACAAACAUCUUAUCUCCUUGUUUGUGCUAAUGAACAUGGUUUCUCGGCCGGAUUCCUCUUCCUAGAAGGAAUAUAUAUAUUUUAUUAGGAGGGCAACAACAACAACAGCAACAAAUCAUCUCUGGCUGAGAAAUGGGUUUGAUUGCCUCUCAUACUGCCAGUCAAGUAAACACAGAAAAGAGAAGACGAUUUAUACGCAUUCAGUCAGAACAUUUACAUGCACUUUCCCUUUGAUAACGUGGUUGCAGAUUGAUCUUCUCUGGCUAAAUUGAGCUGAAAAUGCCCUGGUGUUUGUGGUUGGAUUAUAGACUGUAUAUACUAUGGACAACUUGGUUCUGCCUUCUGUCAAGAUACGUAUUUGAAGCCGAAAAGCUCUUGGCAAUUCCGCAGUUUUUCUCCACUUCCUAAUACCAACAUUGUGCAGUAGCGUUGUGCGCAUUCGGCGGAAAAGUCGCGGAGAGUCGCUGUGAUGAUGCUCAGCUCAGACAGCGUAUCCCCUGGGUGAGCUACGCAAUCUUUGCAAUCUAGGCUGUAUCAAGUGUCAAUCAUAGAAAAUAUGAACCCCCUAAUCAGUGUUGUUUUCUUUGAUGAAAAUAUUUCAUCAACGCCCCUUUUUUUCCACGACGAAGAUGUGACGUUGACGAGCUAAACAUAAGUCUUAGAUGAUUAAAAUGUGACGAGACGAAUGUGCGUUUACGUUGACGAGACGAGACUAGACAAAAAUGUUUGUGGUGGAUGACGAACAGAGUUGCAAAAUUCAUGAGCAUUUCAUCAGUGAAACACCAAACAUAUAUUUUGCAGUGUUGUUUUUUUGUUGGCGAUGACGUUGACAAAAUAUUUUCGUCAAUGUCAUCGUCAACGAUAACAACACUGCCUAUAAUAACUUUUAAAAACAGAGCUGUACAGAGAAAAGAGGACUUGAGUACAAACCAGUCUUACAGUAACUACUCAACUGAACUCAACUUUAUUUGUUAAGCACUUUAAAACAACCACAGCUGAACAAAGUGCUGUACAUAACUAGACAAAACAACAACAUAAAAAACAAUUUAAACAAUGGAUAAAAUAAAAGCAGAAUUAAAAAGUAAAAUAUAGUUUCAAUGUUUUUUAAAAACAUAGAAACAAAUAACUAAAAACAAACCAUAAAACACUAAAACAGGAGCCGAGUCUCAUGCAGGGUUGAAAGCCAAUGAAUGAAAACUGAAUAAUGACUACAUGUCAACAUUGCAAGCAGGGGGGAGAAAAUUUUAUAUUCUGUGUAAUAAAUUUCUAAAGUUCUAAAGUCACCAGAGGGUGCUGUUUUCAGAGUGGCUUCACCCAGCGAGGAGGCAGAUGGCGUCCAUUCUAUAUACAGCAAGAAACCUCAACAGGCAAAGAACGGACGUAAAAAAGACGAAACUUUCGUGAAAGUACCGGACACUCUUGUUGCAAGUGGGUUCUGUAUUCCCAACAUCGAAGUUCGUGAUUCGGGUUUUACUAUCACUGCCAGGGCCACAUUUGUUGAGUACGCUCGGUCAUUCUCCCCCUCACAUACGAAUUUGUGAUUCGGUUUUUACGUGGUUGCUCCAAGCUGAUGUCACGUCCAGCCAAACAGAGAGCACAAAUGUGCUUCUCCGGCAGUUCGCACAUCCGCCUACUCACCAACAUUGCUAUAAAAGAAAGCUGGGACCAAAUUUGUUCAAGGGGAACUCUUUAUUUCAUAAGUGUUGUGUCUGCUUUUGAACCUUUAACCAUCUGGUGGAGAACUGAAGCCAGUCUCUACAUUUAUUUGCACGGCCCACACUCCUCCUGUCUUUUUGAGAUGUUGUUUACUCUAUGCAUACUCCAGUUACCACGUUACUUAAAUAGGUCUAGGAUGAAAGCUGAUGCUCAAUUAGGAGGUAUUAGGGCCAAAAUGACAUCCGGUUAAGAGCUACAGCUGCUGUGAAGUCUGACCUGAGAGUUUCUGUUUUCACUUUGAGAAAUAUCAUCUCGAUUAAAAGAAUUAAUCUGAUUUUGUUCUCAAAAAAUAAAGCGACCUGGCUUAAAUCAAUUUACUGAGACACGAAUUCAAAGAGAACGGAUCGCGGCAGCUGAUAGCGUCAUGAAUUGCAAAUCAUUUGCCGCCUUAAAUCUCAAAGCACAGCCUGUUCAUUAGAUUCAAGUGCAAAACGCAGCUUCAUUGCCCUAAUUUAUGAGUCUGAUUGUGCAGAUGAGCUGUCUGAGCUCCCAGUUAUUGCCGUGCAGGGCUGGGAUUGAUCUGGUCCACAAAUAGAUGUGCAGGAAAGAGAGGGGGAGUCCUCUUUUCGGGUUUAUUUCGAGAUCCUUAUUGACCGAUGUGAUACAGGUUUCACCAUUUAUAAAUAAAGCCUCCCUUCUGGGCGAUUUCGGAUGCACCCCAGUGUUACGUUUGAAAACCUACCUAAGUGAAGCAGCGUCUAAUCUGAUAGCACUCUCCAGCAUUUGGGUCAAAUAUUAAUCCGCCCUUCGAUGGAGUCAGUUUUUGUUUGUGACUUUGCAGGAUGAAGCUCCGGCUGAGUUAUGUAAUGCUUCAGAGCUGGCAUAACAGGCUCCCACUCACCGCAACAUUACAUGACGUCCUGUAAUAGACCCUGCCACCUUCUUUACGAGACGAGAGGCAAAAAUACGCAACAGAGUCUGCGUUUGUUUACAAUAUUGCUGAAAAUAUUGUUUUAAUAAAACCCUGACAUGGUCACUUGCACUUUUGACAGUGCAAAUAAAACAUUUCCUCUAUAACAAGCGGCAAAAAGUCCCAAAAAAUAAGGUGCAUGUGUUCUGAUAGUUCAGCUUGUUAAAAAAAAAAGGGCCAUUAGAGAGCCCGGUCUAAAAAUAGAAAUGAGUGCACCAUAGGAUGCGUAUGUGCAGCCCCCCCCUUUCUCCUUCUGUCUCGCUCACGUGUCCCUGACGUUUAUUAAACUUGAGAAAAAUGGAGAGAGAGACAAACGCAGGCCGAGGGUAUAAAAUAUUAACGCUCAGUAUGUCCAGGCCCUUCGUUUCUUCUCCCCUCAUCCUCCUCCCUUCAAUGUAUUCACAGUUGUUUUUUCUAAAGCAUUGUAUAGUAGCACAUUUAUGCCAACACCCUCCCCCUCAGGCCUUUAGGAGGAGAAAUUAGUCGCCAAGGUACAUCAGAGGCCUAUAAUUACCUUUUAAGGGCGAAAUGGGGGUCAUUCAUUGGCGAGUCUCUUGUUGGCUGUCUGCAAGCUGUCUUGACACAUUUACACAGAAAGCCUCUGGUAUAUGAUGCAAUCAAACAGCUGUAUGUCCACAAGGACGCAACUUUUCCUCUUUUAGAGUAAUACAAUGGAGCGCGCCAUGCCAUCAUUUCCUCUGGGGAUGAUUUCUAUUUAUAUUACAGAAUUGAACAAUCACAAUACGCUUUUAUAUCAUCCUGCCUCCCUGGGGUGUUUCAGCGCCGUGGUGAUGAGGCACAAUUGCUAUGCUGCCGAGCAAAAUAGUAUAAAAGCUCCUGCUGCAGGUGAACAUGAUUCCUUUUGAUAAUUUCCCAUUUCUGCUGAUUUGAGUUUGCAGUGCAAGACUGGGAGUGAUGGAAGAAGCACCAACCACCGCUCCCAGAUGAUCUUAUGUGUCAAGUUUCGGUUUAAGUCAGCAAACUCAGCUCUGUUGUCAGCCUUAACACCUGCUCAGCUCCAACCCAACAACAUGGAAAUGCUUUAAAUAUCGGACAAGUUGAAAGCUCCGCCAGAGGAAAGUGUGAGCGAGUCCUCAAAGGCCGCAGCCAUGAUACUGACUGUCUGGCUGUUGGUGUUUUAGCAUUUGUUUCAUUACUGUUAAAACAAGCUAAAAAUACAGUCUGAUUAGAAUUACUAGAGGAAUUAUUACUUUGGCUGAUAAUAAACAAAUGAAUUGGCUUUAAGUUUCCUGCUAUUGGGAAAAUGUAAAGUACCCUGAGGAGAUUUAACUCCAUGAUACCCACUAUAAAGCAAACCCGACAACUGGCUGGAUGGUUAUAUGGAAUAUAUAAACUGUAAAACUUUGUUUGCUGAUCUGCUUGUAAUUGGGGACAGGCAACUAUGCUCAAAAGGCUUUUAUUUUUUUUAUCUUUUUUACGAUGCACCAUCUUUUGGCACAGCAAUCACGUUGAAAACAGGUUGAUUCAGGCCAAGGCUGCAUGGCACUGGAAAAACUUCAACUUAUGAAGAAAUACAUGGAGUAUUGCCACUAAUUUAAUAACUAAAUAAUACAAUUUAACUAUUUUUAGAGAAUAUUUGAUAAAGGGUAUCCUAAUGGAUGUCAUAAAGGGUGUUAUAACACCCUUAUAACAACCUUCUUCAGACCUUAGGACACCCUUUAGUAAACCCAUGAUACGAGUGUUACAAUGGGUGUUAUAUAGGGUGCUAUGAAGGGUGUCUUAAGGUUGUAAUUAAAGGUUGUUAUAAAGAGUAUCAUGAAGGGUGUUAUAAGCAUUGUUAUAACAUGUGUAUUAAAGUGUGUUAAAAAUGAUGUAAUAUAGGUUGUUACAGAGGGUUUACUGAAGUGUUUAAUAAAGGGUGUUUAGAGGGUUUACAUUUGGUAUUACAAAGGGUGAUAUAAAAGGUUUAUAUUGGGUGUCAUAAAGAGUGUUAUAAUGGAUUUGUUAAAGGGUGUUAUAACACCCUUAUAGCAACCUUCAUAAGACCUUAGGACACCCUUUGGUAAACCCAUUAUAAGAGUUUUAUAAUGGGUGUUAUAUAGGGUGAGAAGAAGGGCUCCUAAAGGUUGUUAUAAAGAGUAUCGUGCAGGGUAUUAUAAGGGUUGUUAUAAAGGGUGCACUAUAGGGUGUAAAAAGGGUUGUCAUAAAAGGUAUACUAAAGAGUGUAAUAAAGGGUGUUAUAGAGGGUUUAUAUUUGGUACAACAAAGUGUGAUAUAAAAGGUUUAUAUUGAGUUUCAUAAUGGGUGUAAUACAGGGGCUAUAUCGGGCAUAACAAAGGAUGUAAUAAAGGCUGUUAUAGAAGGUUUAUAUUUGGUAUAACAAAGGGUGAUAUUAAAGGUUUAUAUUUGGUAUGACAAAGGGUGAGAUUAAAGGUUUAUAUUGGGUAUAAUAAAGGGUGUUAUAAAGGUGUAUUUUAGGUAUAAUAAUGGGUGUUUUAAAGGGUUUAUAUUGGGUUUAAAUGGGUGAAAUAAAGGGGCUACAUUGCAUAAUAAAGGAUGUUGGGUGUUAUAUUAGGUUUAUAUUGAGUGCAAUAAAGGGCAUUUGUUACAAAUGAUGUUCUAAAGAAGAAAAAGAAACUCAAAUAACUAAUACUUUUUCCUGGGAGUUGAUUGUAAUUCAAAAUUCAAGCCCACACACAUCCACACACUCCAUCCCCCUGUUCUUUCUUUCUUUCACAGUUUUGCCCUUUGAUCAACGGAAACUGCAGAAACUACGUGUCAAGGGCGGUUAGAAGCAUGUGUUCUGUCUCCAGAUGAAAUGCUGCGCAUGUAAACACUCCAUGUUUGUGAGUCUGACUGUCUCCAAACCCCGCGAAGCCUAUAAACGUCCUCCACACUCAACAUCACAACAUCCUGCUGAGAUGACAGCAAUCUCAGAAACCAUCACCGCUGAUGAUGAGAGCAACUUCUGACACAGUUUGUUGUCAUUUUAAGAGCGUGCAGAUAACAGCUUUGGGAAUCCUGCGGUAAGCCGCUUAAAAUCUUGACAAAGACGGUUUUUCCUUCUUCCUUUUUUGUUUUUAUAAUGUUCGCCGACAGGAUUACAGAAAAUCUAGGAGCUACAUUUUCACUAUAGAAUAAAAACUGGUGGUGUUGAUUGUGCAAGACAUGAUGCGUUAAAGCCAAAAUAGAAAAAGGAAGUGUACUUCUUUGACUUUUAAAGAGCUUGACCCAUUCAGGGAUUGGACGUUACAAUCCAAUGAGUGAUAUUUAAUCCUCUCAUCCCUUCCUCUCCUAUCCCAACUUACAACAUCAAAUACUGACCCUUUGUCAUAGCCAGUUCAAUGUGCAAGUUGGGGCAAGACCAGACUCUUAAGCCAACAGCUGCUAUGAAGAAACUUGACGUUGUGCCCAAAUGCUCUGACUUUAUUUUACUCACAUUGUGAGACUGAUUCUUUUCCAUACACUGAGAAUAUUUCAUGAUGUGGGACCGCACUGAUGAACCUAAAAACGUCAACAACGUUUGAGUGUCAGUAAAAUAUUAAACACUGUCUUCUAAAGUGAUAUAACACAGACUCAGUAACACACAUUCAUCAAAUCAGGUGAAGGCACUACUGCAGUUUAAAAUUUAACCAACAAAGCCUGAAACAGAUCAGUACACAUCCUUCUUGUCCGUGCGUGGUUUCAUUACGCACUACGGCUGCUUAAUUUUCACAGACAGCGAUGAAAUAUUAACAUCUGCUAUACAGGCAUCUGAUUUUCCGCUCGAGGGGACACAAGAGAACAGAGGCUCCAAACCUCAAGAGCAACAAACCAGAUAGUAGGGGUUUGAAUGAUACACAGGAGGAGUCUGGGUAAAGUGAGGAUGCUGACCUCUGGGUAGCGAUUGGCCUUUAGGAGCUUUCAUCUCUUAGACAUAAGAAGAAGAAGAGGACAUUGGGCCAGGUGUGCGUUACGCCGAUAAGCUUCCACUCAAUGCCCGCUCUCCUCCCUCACCUCCAUCUGAUCCCAUCUUUAUCCUUGUCCUUUGUGUGCCUCCUCUCACUCCUCCCACUUUCUUUUUGAAGCCCAAAUAUAAGCCCGAAUAGGAUGGAGUGAUAUGAGUUGAAUAAACCCCAGGAAUGAUUUUUUUCAAUCUUUUUGAAACAUUUCUGCCUUCUCACCCUGACUGGCCUCCCCGCUAUCUCCCCAUUUCCUCUUUUUCUCCUCCAGCAAUUCGAUUGGGCUGCUUAAAAAAAGGUCUCUAUAAUAGAAUAUUUAAUCCACCAAGCAAAACAUUGUGAAAUUAGAAGCCUGGUCUCACAUAUGGAGAAAGCACAAUGAUCACGACUCUUUUUCACUCACCAUUUCUCCCACUCUCGUUUUACUUCUCGCCCUCUUGACUGGAUAUGCAAAGCCUUACCUCUAUUGAUUGCCGUGCAAUGGCAGCUUUUCACAAUCUGUAUUGUGGGCUGCAAAUUCAAUAUACUUGAGCUUCUACAAAUCCAACCUCUGAGUAGCUGGAACCCGUCAGCUGCUCAGAAACUAGCGGGGGUGUGUAUUUCUCGUCCAACAAUGAGCCAAGCUUUUGGGAAGUACUUCAUUUUUUUCUUCUUCCCAGAAGUUUGAUGUGACAUGAAAAUAAUGUACUUGAACUGAUAUUAGUCAUCCCUCAACUCUGUUUCUACCAGGUGGCUCUCUGGGGGAUGUGACACAGAGGAGGCCUGGUGAUUAUGAGGCAAAAUCUGCUACGACAUUAAAUAUCCCCUUUAUAAGGAGGUUUUCAAUUAGAAUAAAUCACAGCUGCCAAUAAACACUCAAAAUUUUGAAUCAGUUGCCCUGCUGUCUUUUCCAUCUUAAGGUCUGGUUCACAAAGAAUAAUUUAUUUAUAGUACUGCAGUGCAAACGUGCUCAUAAAGUCUUGCAGAUUUGUACAGUUCCUUCUCAUUUCGCUUCAGAUUGUGGAAACGAGAAAUCAGCUUCUUCACUCUUUGCUGCGCAGAGCUCCACUGUGCACUCUCAUCCUGACCAAGUGUAAGUCUUUUAAACUAUGUUGAAGCUAUUUCAAAUAUUUAGAUGUGGAAAUAUGCUAGAAAAAGCUUUUAUGAGAUCAAUUUCCCACCCGUAAAGACGGAAUAAUCUACAGCACAUAUAAAGACUGCUGACUAAAGUGCUUUAUAAAUAAAGAUGAGUUGAGUUGGGUCGAAAAUAAACUUCUUAAAAAUGAGCAUACUCUGAAGUUUACUGUGACUUUUCAAUGCUAACAAGUUUUCGGAAAAUAAACAACCCAAUCUUAUCCUUUCGAUGGCAAGGCAAAACCCCAAGAAUUACACAAAUGUUAUUGCAAAAGCAUAGAUCAGUAGGGGGACUGGCACUUCCUAACUUAAGAAAUUGUUACCAGGCCGCAAAUACUCACGAAACUAUUCUACGGGUGCAGGAAUCAACAUAAAGGUGGUGCUAGUUAUGUUGCGUUCGGGUUACCUUGGAAGUCAGAUGUCCAAGCUGGGAAUGAUGCCACAUGUGAGUUACCAGUACCAAGUUGGAAAAAAGCAAAAUCGAAGGCGGAAACAAGAUAGCUAUACCUACGAAAGUUAUUUUAGCGCUUGCUUGUCCUUGUUAUAUUAGGAAAAGGCAAGUGCUAAAAUGACUUUCAUAGAUGUAGUCAUCUUGUUUCCGCCUCCGAUUUUGCUUUUUUCCAACUUGGUAACUUCUUAAAAAUGAGCAUACUCCGAAGUUUACUGUACCUUUCCAAUGCUUACCAGUUUUUCAGAAAACAAACAACCUCAUCUCAUCCUUUCUAUGGCAAGGCAAAACCUCAAGAAUUACAAAAGUGUUAUUGCAAAAGCAUAGAUCAGUUGGGGGACUCGCACUUCCUAACUUAAGAAAUUGUUACCAGGCCGCUAAUGCUUACGAAACUUUUCUACGGGUGCAGGAACCAACAUAAAGCUAGUGCAAGCUAAACUGUGUUCGAGUUACCUUGGAAGUCAGAUGUCCAAGCUGGGAAUGAUGCCACAUGUGAGUUACCAGUACCAAGUUGGAAAAAAGCAAAAUCGAAGGCGGAAACAAGAUAGCUAUACCUACGAAAGUUAUUUUAGCGCUUGCUUGUCCUUGUUAUAUUCGGACAAGGCAAGUGCUAAAAUGACUUUCAUAGAUGUAGUCAUCUUGUUUCAGUCUCUAAUUUUGCUUUUUUUCCAACUUGUUAACUGUAACGCUGGUAACUCGGGUGUGACGUCAUUCCCAGCUCAGACAUCAGACUUCCGAGGUAUCUCGAAUGCACCAUUAGAAGGCAAACUCAAUUCCAAACUCUCUGAGAUAUAUCACACCACAUUUGAAAGCUUUCAGCGAUUUGAUGUUCUCAUAUUCGCAAAGGGUUUUGGCAAAGUUGGAUUCACCAUCUGGGAGUGUUGGGGUUAAUCCUCUGGGCACAAUUAGUGGCUGUCAAAACAGGGCUUUCAAUCACUGUGUAGCUAGGUUAACUUGAAUAGAAACAGUUCAACCUUUUGAGGCAGAACUCGAGAAAAUGUCAAAGACCGGUCAAAGAGCGUGGGGUUUAACUUCUGGGAAACAUGAACGCCAAUCAAAAUUUCAAUCAGUGUUCAUCCAACAGGAAAAGAUUAGCAAGGAUUGUUUCGAUAUUUCAUUUGGGAUGGAAGUAAUGGAGUAACAGACAUAUCAUUGCUAUCCCUGAAGCAACAUGAGUCAUGCUGCUGAAAUAUAAAAGAAUCCGUCAUUUGUUAACGGGUAGAAACAGUGUGUUAGCAAUGAUUUUUAGAUAAGGCUUCAGACUAGAUACUCAGACUACAGACGGGCAAAAUAUACACCAAUGCCAGGCAUUAAGUGCAGAUACAAGGUUAUGUAACAGUGAAUACCACAGUAACCUCUCCUGGAAACACUGUCAGCUGAGAAAAGAAGCACAUCUUGUGUGAGGAACACUGAUAAAAAAAUCAUGAAUUUCAAAUCUCAAUCCUCGCUCCUCAUUCAUAACUUAUCGGUCUGAAACAAAACAUUAAAAACUCCCCAAAACAAUUCGACAUUUUCAAACUGUUUGAGUCAGAGAGGGAUUUAGUGGGGGACAACCCUGAAGGCUUGGAGCAGGAAUCAGUUUUCAGGCCGUCUUAAGGUGUAAAAAACAGUGGUGUAUUUUUAGCUUAUAUUUCUGCGAGGCUCUUUUGUUCAUGGCUUUGCUUUGGGAAACCCCCGCGUGGGCACAAAGGACACACUCUUGUGUAAUUACAGGAACAUUCGCAAGCUAUAAUGCACCAACAACAAAAAAAUACAUCAUGAGAAAUGUGUGCACCAGUGUCCUCUAAAGGUUCUCUGUGCUUCUAGGAUUUCAGUGUCAGUGUGUGCCUUUUUGUAAAGGUGUCCUUUAUGUUCACUUAACCAUCUAAAUUUGAUUUUACAGCAAGUUGGUGGGCAGCUUGUCCAUGGGAUCCCUUGGUGAGCUGCAACCUUGAGCCCAGCUAAUCAUUCCCAUGCCAAAUUUCUGAUUAAGAUGCUAUUCUCCUGCUGUUCCAGGGAAUUUGGGGACUGCAACCUUGAAUCAGUCUCAUAACGCCCAUUGAAAAAGACGAAUAACGCGAGUUUGCAGAAAAGUUCCCAGUGGAUGAAACAGCAGGAGGUUGAGCUUAAGACAGGUUGAUAUAUUGGCGUUAAACUUUUACCCCCUUUAGAGACAAUGAUAGACCAGGUUUUAUUAAAGCCUUCAGUCAUGUGAGGAAGCCUGGGAUUUAACUUCUUCUAAUUAGUCGCAAGAAAGUCCAGCUGUGAUCUGCACUCUACCAUAAUAUGAAAAUUUGGACAGACUACCAAUUUGGCAAAAAAAACCUACAAGAUACAAGAACCUCUGUGGAUUUUUCUUUUCUUUAUGUAGUGUUAUCUCGUGAUAACGACUUAUUAUCCCAUUAUCUUGACAUGACAAAGCUUGUUUUCUCGUGAUGACAAAUUAAUUAAUGAUGUAUCCGCCAUUCUUACUGUUGUAUUCCGAUUCGCUUAUGGCAGUUAUAUGUUUCCACAUGUAGAAUCGGCCUAUUUUUAAAAUGUUUUGUGAAGUUUUAAAAUUUUGUUAAUUUAAGUAAUAUAUCUACAAAUUUACUUAUUUUUUUUUAAACUAAUGACUGCUUUUGAGCCUUUCAAACACUUCUUCAAAGACUUAAAGGCAGAAAACUCAUUUCAAAUACUUUUUAUUGCUAAAACAGCCCCUGGCUAUUUAUUUUAACUGUAAUAAAGAUGAUAAACUAAUUCUUUUCAGCUCAUUAUUCAGACUGUAGCAGGUGUGAGUCUGAUUAUUUUGUCGACCUAUGUCUUGUCAAACUCACACACUCGUCAUCCUCUAAAAUAAACAGACUAUAUAAAUAAAUAGAAAUAAAGCGAACUCACGUACAUCAUAAAAAAUGAGGAACACUCGAUAUGCUGUAGGCUACUGCUCUUUACGCCGACAGGAAGACCGACUGAUCAUCUCAGUAAUAUUCCAUGUAUUUAUCAUGAAUCAAACUCGGACCAGAAAAGCGUUUUCAACAACCCCCACCUCCCCCGCCGAUCGGUGCCUCUGCAUCUUAACUCACGUUACUCAUUUCCGGUCCGGUCUCAUCUGGAGACAUGCAGCUACCUCAGAAAGAGAAGUAGCUCGAUCACGUAAUGUGUACUGUUGUUUAUUCUACCGUUACUGGCACGGCUAACAGUGUAGCAAGGCUAAUAGCGGGUGGCUAACUCUAACUUUAAGCUUGCAUAUUACAUGGUGCUUCACCGUUAACUCGGCGUGACCGAGACCAGCACAGCGGGGAACAUCGUGAAGUGGGUUGAACUGAAACUUGUUGACUUAUUGUGUAUUUCACAAACUGGUUUAUUUACCGUUGAGGCGGACCACUCUCCUCCGUACGUCCCUGAGCUGCCUGCUUCAGAUCCGUCACUCUGCUGUGCUGUGAGGUAGUUAGUGGAUGAAGAUUGUCAUGAGGUCGCUGCGCCAUCUACAGGAUAAGUCGGGGAACUUUACAAAUGGUGGAACAUUUUCAAAGUGAAACCAAAUCUUAUUCUCCUCAUUUUAUUUCUAAAAAUAUCGGCAACAAUUGGCAACCGAUUAGUCGACCACCGAUUAGUCUCAAACGGGCUAACAUUGGCCGAUUUAAUCGUCUCGCCGAUAAAUCGGUCGGGCCCUAUUGAUAACCCUGGCUUGCUGUUGAUAAUGGCGACAGCAACGUUUCAGAAAUAUCCCACUCUGGAGGGCGUUUUUUAAAGUUACCGUUUUAAGGAGGCUAAACAACAUUUCUGUUAUCAUGAGAAAACAAUCUAUUUGUUAUGUUGAGAUAACAAGAUAAGUUGUAAUCAUGAGAUGACAGUGCAUAAAAAAAAAACAUGGCCUUUUUUUGUCUUUCGUAGAAAACCAAAGCAGACGCUCAACUUCCUUGCCCAUCCAGAGCUUCUUCUAUCCACAGCUAGAACUUCUACUGCUUACUGAAGAUAUGUACUUAAGUCAUGUUUCAUAUAGAAAUGUAAAAGCCUCUGCACCAACAGAGAAAACAAAGCCUCCACAAAAAGGGUUUUAUAAGUUGCUCACAUUUCCGACAAUCCAUUCAAGUUUGGCUCCAACUGUUAUAAAAGAUCUGCUUCUUAUCAAUAUGCACAUCGUCCGUCUGUUGUCCCUGCUGUGUGUACGCAGAGGGAGAAUUUUCAAUUGUUGACCUCGGUUAGAAUUUUACGGCGCUGAAUAGGUUAAGUGCUGCCGUGGUGGGGGUGACCUCCUAAUUACAAUGGAGGCCAUUUGGAUUUAUUCACUGGACAUGCAGGCACCAGAGAGAUUUAAUGAGGGCUUUGACAUUUGUCCCCUUCCCUAAUAAUUAUUCUGUUAGAGAAUCUUCGCCUUGGCUAUAGUCUUUUUCUAAUUGAAGUGUAUGCUCACCCGUCGGAGGGGUUUGUAGUCCAUGAUGUAUCCGACCUUAUGGGCAAUAACUUGAAAGAAAAGCUAAAGACGUGGCGGACAGGUCAACGUGAAGAAUGAAUUUAGUCGGCACAGGAGAUGCUCUGCAGGCCCUUUCUGUAGAUUUUGGAUGUUUAGGUCUUGGAUCAUAUACACAAAAGUCACAAAUAUUUUAAGAUAAAACAUUAACACUGAAGUAUUUCACUACUCUGUGAAAAAGUGUGAAUCUUUAUACAGCCUGGCUGCUUGUUUGUUUUAAUGAUUAAAUCUUACAGGUCACUCAACAUCGACUGCAAGCAACUUUCAAAAAACUGAUACCAAAUAAAAAAUUGCAAAUGAGUCUUGAGUAGCUACGCCAUGUGUGAAUAAUUUAAAAAGUUCCAAUCCUGCGGUUAUUUACCAUGUUUUAGUGAAUGUGAUGUCAAGUUGGUACUAUUGAUUCCUCAGACACCUCGAGUUGUAGCUCCAACUUCAGGAGAGCCCGGCAGAUGGAAGCUCAUUUGACCAAUUAUACCGACACCAUUUGAAUGAGUGGGCUCAGGGUGUGAAGUUGUGGCUAUUUUCUGCAAUUAGCGCACAAACCAGUGCAGAGCCAGAGCUUGCAAAAGUCAGAAAAGCAUCAGAAGAUGGGUCAUUUAUUAAUUCAUUCAGCUCAUCGAAAGGUAUCUUACACCAAGUUAAUUUCGCCCCUUGCAAACUCUCCAGAUGUUCCAGACAGAUUUGGAUGAAAGCUGGCAGAUAAAAAAAAUCUAACAGAUGCAGACGGAUCCAUCUGUCUGUUACUCUUGAUUCAAAGCAGACAAAUUUGAGGCGCAUCUCCGAGUGAACGUGAUGAUAUCAAGGACAAACAGGGCGACGAACAAACCUUUCAAAAACAUUCAAAAAGGAUUCAAGAUGGAGACGAACAGUUUAAAUAAACACAAAUCACUUCCAAGCUGUCCAAAAGAAGUCAUCUCUACACCACGCACGACAUCCUGCUCCAGUGUGUGACAGAACAGGCUGUCAGUGUAAUCUUAAAUGUUCCUGCAUCACCGUCCCUGAGACAGACCUUGGCCCAUUUAUUCCUCCCUGACAAACAAAGUUACACCGAAUCUGAAAGGAGAGACAAACAACCACGUGUCCCGGCUAACAGCAAUUGACUCGUUUACCUCUUCAAGCGAGAAGGGAAACGUGACAGAGCUUGAAUGACGGGACAGCACAUACAUCACACAAUGCUGCGCGAGACACACGUAGCGCCACUUGCUUGUUAACCUUUGGACAGGCAUCUGUAUAUAUAUGUGUUUGUCUGCCUUUCGCGCGGUGACGGAUGAAGUUGAGAAUGACAGAGUGUGCCUGCUCUCCGUGUGAUCACUCAAAGUACGCGCAUUUACAACCUCCUACACACAGUUGCAGGCUUACACAGAGAUCUCCUCACCCCUUAGUGAUUAUGCAGACAUGUUUUGUUAUGCUUAUAGGUGAUUUUUGAUGUUUGCAGCUCUCAUAAAACAACAGAUCAAUAGUAGGAAACACUUUCCUCCCUCCCCAUCUGUCUUUGAGUGCCUUUGACGACGACUUUUAACACAAGCAGCUUGUGCAUAGACUCCGGCACAUAUACAGAGCUCUAUGUGAGUGCGCAUGUGGGUAAGAGAGAUGAUGUUGAAUUUAUUCAUGAGGAGCACUUUGCAGAACAUCACAAAGUGUUCAACAGGGAAGCCAAGGACACCAUAGGCGAAACUAACAAGGAGGAGACACAUAUCAAAAAGCCGAAGCCGGAGCGUGUCUGUUAUCACUUUGGUGGCGACAAGUAUUAGGAAAGUGAAGUUGGUGUCUUUAUUGUGAGAGUCCUAUUUAAAAAAUGCCCCUUUUCACCUAGUUAAUACACACAAACAACACAAGAGGAAUCAGCAGAGAGACUGAAAUUAAAUAGAAGCAGCAGCACUUGCUCUAAUGUUGCCUGGCAACCAAGGUGAUAUACUAAAUCAAUGCAUUCUCUGAAUAUUCGCUUUAAAGAGUCGUGUCGAGCGUCGACGUCGGUAAAUGUCUGACAGGAACGACUGUUUUGAAUUUUUGUAUAUUUGUGGAGUAAACAGUCUUGUGGGUGUCAGACUCAGGCCCGACUGUUUGGGUAAAUCCAGGCAAGAAAAGUGAAUGAGUAAUGCACUCUUAACAAAGUCUGUGUGGGCGCCCUUUAACACCACAAUUAACCCUUGACAACUCUGAGGGAGCAGCGAAUGAAUGGCUGGAAGCGUGAAACCGUGCUCGCAUUUUGCAGGAUUCAGGUGUGACUGUGUGGAGAUUUAUAGUCUGGAAUAGGAAAAGAAGAGCAUACAUUUUUAACAUCACUGAGACUAAAUCCAUUUUUACAGUCUGUAGUCAGUCUCCAUUAAACUCUAGUAUUAAAAGGCCCAACUUAACAGUAGCCAUGAUCAUUUUUAAAGCAUUUUACCCAGCCUGUUAUUCAUUGUCUGUUCAAGGUGGGAGUGUCAAGCUAGGAGAAGUGGAGCCCUCUGUUUAUUAUGACUCCUCUGUCUGUCUGUCUGUGUGCAUACAUAAAGUGUAGCUCUUGCUCUCCUACUUCCCGGUUCUAUGAUUACUUAUGAUUACUCACACCUGCCCUCCAUCAGGUUCAUCACUCUACCCAUCUCAGCUCAAUGCUGCACACACUGCAGAUCACCACCUGCCAGCCUACAUGUUUGUCUGCUAGUCAAAACUCACCACCUGCUACCUCCGACAAAGCAGCCAGUCUUGCUCAUUCUGCCAAUCUGCCCAGUCCUGUCCAGUCAAUCCUCUCCAUACCCUGUCCUUGACAGAGACUGGUAACAUUCCCUCUCGUCAUGUUUUUAAUAAAAUAUUUCAAUGGUUUAAUUUUAUUCAAAUUAUGAAUAACAUUUUUAUAUUGUAGCAGUUAAAUAAAAUUUAAUAUAAUAGCAAGGAGCCAAUGCGUUAAAGGAUUGCAACCUACUUCGUCAUGAAAUGUUAAACUCCUGUUCAUGAGUUUUGUUGCUUUGUUGUGAGGUUUAGGGCCAAGAAUUCAAGGACUCUGCUUCAAAUGGAUAAAUUUUCAGGGUGGAAGCAACACUAUGAUAUGAUAAGAUACGAUAUAUCAUAUGAUACAAAUGAUAUGAUACAAAGCCAUGGUAUGCAAUAUGAUACGAUGCAAUCCAAUAUAAUACAACAUAAAGUAAUAUAUGAUAUGUUACGAUAUGAUAGGAAAUUAUAUGAAAUGCUACGAUAUGAUAUGAUAUGAUAUGAUAUGAUAUAUGAUAUGAUAGGUUACGGAAUGAUAUAAUACAAAGCCAUGGUAUGCAAUAUGAUACCAUGAAAUCCAAUAUAAUACAAUAUAAAAUUAUAUAUGAUACCUUACGUUGCGAAAUGAUAUUAAAUGAUAUUAUAUGUUACGAUAUGAUAUAAAAUGAUAUGAUAUGAUAUGAUACAUUAUGGUACGUUAUGAUACAAUCUGGUAUGAUACAUUACAAUAUGAUAUGAAAUUAUAUGAUAUAAUACGUUACGUUAUGACACAAUAUGAUAUGUUAUGAUACAAUCUGGUAUGAUAUGUUAUGAUAUGAUAUGAAAUGAUAUAUGAUAUGUUACGUUUUGAUAUAAUAUGAAAUGAUAUGUCAUGAUACGUUAUGAUACAAAACAAUAUGAUACGAUACAAAUGAUAUGAUAAAAUACAAUAUGACAUGAUACGAUAUGAUACACUGUGAUGUAGAGGUGUGUAUUCGUAAGGAUUUAACGAUAUGAUAUAUAUCACGAUACAUGUAUCACGAUACGAUUUGAUACAAUACAAUAGGGGUGUGUAUGGCAAGAACCUCCCGAUACAAUACUGUCGUGACCCUGGGUUGCCUGAGUGUGGUGCCGCCAUCCUUAGGGUGUUUCUCUCUUCAAGUGCUGGCUGCUGAUUGGUGAAUGGUGAUUGGUGGAGCUGCUCAAACUGUUCUUCAAUACUUUGUUAUACGUUUUACAAUUGAGCCUGUCAAUACAGUCAUAACGGUGGGUACUUUAAUUGUUAAUCCUUUUUCUCCUGCUAGUUUUAUCAGGUAAAUCAGUUGAGAGACCUGUGUUUUAUGAUAUUUUCUUUUGAAUAGGUAAGUUAGCUUUGGGACAUGGACUGUUUUGUUUGUUGUUUUAGGCCACGCUCACUCUGAACUUUAUUGCUAUCUUUAUCUUUGAGUGUUAAAUAAAUCAUCUUUUGUUGGACUGCAGUGGUGUGGCAUUGGUCGUCCUUGGGAGUGGGUAAAGAGGGGGAGCAUCUUUCUGUGUUAUGUACUGGUUCCUCAAGGCUGGUCGUAACAAUAUGUAUCACAAAAGAGUAAUAUUGCAAUAUAUCACAGUACAGAAGGAUAUGAUUUUAUACAAUAUAAAACAAUUAAAAUGCUAUGACACCAUACCAUUCAAAAGUAUAUAAUGGGAUACAAAAGUAAAUGAUAUGAUACAAUGACUCAGGGGUCUUCAAUGACAAUUAUAUCACAAUACAGUGACACUGUGAUAAUCUAUAUAUUGCAAGAUCUAUAUUUUGUAUGCAAACCUAAUCACAUUUUUUGCUGAGACUCUAAACUUGCAACAGCUACAGUCCUGUACGUCAAAAUGCAAAGACUACAAAUGGGCAGUUUGUUUAGUUUAGCUUUCAUUUCUAAGGGAAAUUUCUGCCAUGUGAGCACAAAUCAAAGCAAUACACUCACAUCUUAAUAAAGGAGAUACUGUAUCCUCUCAACAGUUGUCUGACCAGAGACCGCUUCUCUACACUUCAAAACCCUUUUGGAGUAUGUUAGCGAAGCACAGGUGGGUGCAUCUGCUGAAUGGUAAUGCAAAACUUCUGCAUCAAAUACUACUGUACAUGCAGCACCAAUGGGGUUCUGAGUCAGAGGCAACAAAUCAAUAAAAUCAAUGGAGAGUCAGAAUGAGUACAACCAGACAUAUAUAUAGGCGCAUGCAGAGCGUGUGGGUGUGGAAUUUAGCCGCUGGCAAACAUCAAAACAUAUCCCCCAUGGUCUGUUUUCUGUACUUUCUGUGAUUUUUCAUACAGUUCUUCAGAGUACCACCAGGUGCCACUAUUAACUCACAGCAGCCCUUCCCCCAGCCUGACAUGUGCCUCCCCCUCUUGCCUCAGUCUUCUCCUCUGCACUCCCUCCAUGCAUUCCUUUCUCACUCUGUCUUCCUCUUUCCUCUCUCCUUCUCUGCUUCCUUGCCCUAAAACAAAGUAAUUGCCUGCAGCACAGUUCAGAGUCUCUUACUCUGUCUGGCGCAGAUCAGGCUCCAGCCACUCAAUCAUUAUUUCUACCACAACAAUGAAUACCUCACGUGGUUCACGGAGUCAGUGAGACCUGCUGAAGGCAUUAACAUCUUUGUGUUUAUGCACGGCCAUGGUGUGUCGCCUUAGUUAACGAAAGCCUGCAUCAGUGUCUGUCUCAUGGCUAAUUGUAAUCUACUAUAGCAAGCUCUGGAUCAUAGAUAUGCACGACAGUAUGUGUAUGUGUCAGACACAAGGCUGGUGACAGACAUUAAUCUCCAAGCAUUCAUCUGUCACUUAGACAUCUAUAAUUCAAAAGACGUCAGUCAGAGGUUUUGACAGGGUCUACUUGCAAAGAGAAUUUUUAUUGACAUUGAUUUCUCUCUUGAUCUUUUCUCCGUGUAAUUGCGCAUGCAUUAGUCGAUGCAGUCCAUGCAUUCGUUUUAUACACAUAAACAGCAUCUUUAAAUACACUGUACAUGUAAAGUCACAUGUUUGAGUGCAGAGGGUCUGCAGUGAGCACAAGACCUCUGUAAGAGAGAAGUCUACGCUUCUGAUUUUCUAAUAACUGCAGGUCUGACCAAAGUGCUAUAAGAAUGUUAUUGCUCUGCAAUAUGAUACCCGCAUCACUUUCUGCUGACGGAGGGAAAGCACGAGCGGAAAAAAAGAGACAGAAAAAUGAAAGCAAGGGGGAGCAACAAAGUUAGAAGUCAGUUAAGUCAUUUAUUUGACCAAUUCCACAGAAAGGUAGCCACUGUCUAUUCCAAGGGAACGCUUAGCCGAGGAGGCCGGGUUAGAAACCCCUCUGAGUGUCCGUACGAGGGAACAGUGCUGCUAUCGGAGAUUGUGAAGUCUGUGUUUUCUGUUUCUUGUUGGCUUAAGGGUAGGGAGGAUGCCAAAGAUUUUCACAUUUUGAUACUUUACGCCUAUCACUUCAUCCACUUUCUGUGCGGCUGCAUUUAAAGAAAGUGCCUGUUUAUUCGAGAAGGGCUUUUAUAAGGCACUUGACAACAGUAAGUGUAUUACUCACAGGGGAUCAUCUUGAGCUACAGGCCUUAAAACGCUGCUAAAAAAGGUCAACCCUACCAUGUUAUUUAGCUUUGGUUAAAGAAAAGCACUCUUUAACUUUCCCAAAAGUUAUAGAACACCUAAUUUUAUUGAACAUUAUUAACAAAUUAUGCAUUAUGGAGGCAUUUUUUAUCUGUUCUUUCAUUACAUUGAGAUCUUAUAACACUUUGAACUAUAUACAGUGAUGACAUAAUGUCCUUUUGGAACAAAUUUUUUGCAAUCUAAUCCUUUCCUGGUUUGGAGAGUGUAUUUGACACACUCAGUUGCAGAUGUUCAUUGUGGUGCACCACCUGAAUGAGCAAAAAUACUGUUGAUUAAAGGUUAAAAAAGGAAAGAAAAAGAGGACCUAGUGUUGAGCCUUGAGGUACCCCUUUAUGUUUAAGAAGUCUGACAUUGGAUAUCGUGCCUGUAGUUGUAUUAAUAUAAUGUGUAUUGACAAGUCCAGGUUAUCAGUGAGGGCAUGUUUAAUCACAAAUGCAAAACAAAAUGCACAACAAAUAGAUUUAAGGUGAAAAAAGGAAAAAGAUAGAGGACCUGGUGUUGAGCCUUGGGGUACACCUUUUUGUUUAAGUCGUGUUUCCAAUAAAUAUUCUAAAAAUGAUGUACAAUAAUCCGUCAUGGAUGUUAAAUUUGGAAGAAAAUAUGAAUCAAAAUACAAAAAUGGUACAAAGGAGGUCACUAUCAACAUUUUAAGUCUUACCUGGACAGCUAUAUUCAAUUCUAGGUCCUUGAAUUUGGCAUGUGAAGUUGUGAAAACUUGCUUUUUUCAUUUCUCUGUACUUUUCCCUGACCCUUACCCUAACUCCAACCCUGGAAAUGUGGCCCGUAAUACUUGUAGGGUCAAAUAUUAGUCUUUUCUUGACUUUUGGGGUCCUAAUUAAUGAUUCCAAGACACAUUUAUUAUUUAGUUUUGUCCACAUUAAUCAAAACCUUCCUAAUGACUUGACCUGCAUUCAUGAUUUGUUUCCUAAUAUGGGUCCAAUAAUCAAAAUAUAAACCCAAAUAUAAAGCAUAAUUGUUACUGCUGUCACUCCUACAAAAACAACCACCGAGGUACUCAGACUUUCUUUCUGCUUCUUCCUGUUUACUGGCGUGGGAAACCAAGCUGGGGGUUGACAUGUAGGUGUCACAAGUGGGCAAACCAAUUAACUGGGAUAAGUUGAAAUUAAGCUCUUUUUUUACUUGGAGGUUUAUCCUUCCUACUCUUAUUGGAAAUCACCAAAUAUAGCAGCUUAAAUUGGCAGGAAAUGGAGUUUAUUGCAGAGAUCAUACAGUCGAAUGGUUCAUCAGACGCAGACUAGUGCUCCCAAAACAUUCAAUAUUAUAGGUUUGCCUUUGCAAGUCAUACUCUCGUAAUCACAACCAGUCAAACUUAAAAAAUGGGUAUUGCUGUAUACCAUACAUCUAUUUCUCUGCACCUGCUGUGGUUGAAUAUAUCCAAUCAGUCUGAAAAGCAGUCAAGACGAAUAAACAAAGCACACAAAAUCAAACCCAGGACCAGCUCAUUGAUCCCUCACCUCACUGGCCCAAGGGUGUUGGUAAAUGAGCCAAAACUUCUUCCAUUAUAAACUCCGUCUGCGUCAACAUAGAGGACAAAUGCAGCUCAAAAAUGAAUCAAUGAUUUAUAGGCAACAGGCGAUUGCUGAGACAGGAAAGGAUAUAGACUCUUGCAACUAUAAAGCAGUAUUGACUCUACUGUUGGUCUGAUUAAAACAGGAAAUGAUCGCCUCUGGGGAUAUGACAUGCAAAGUGGAAGUUUUACCAAGUUGCUGUUAUCAGGGGUCAGUCUUAACACCUUCCUCUGCUGCUGGUGGCGCCCAUCAGCCCCCUUCAGCUUCUCCAACAACACACUGACCUCACUUUAUAUGCUGAUAGUCACACUCGCAGCAAAAAGAGUUAUUUCACAACUCGGUUCAAAUGUCCUCAACUUCCCUUCCAAGGCUGUUGUCCCGGUUUCUUUGGGAAGUCUGAAACUUUGUGAUGGAUAACUGGCUAAAGUUAGUCAGCCACUUUGGCAGGGUACAAUGCUUGGAGAAUAUCCGGAGGGAGUUUAUAAAAGACAUAAAGACAACUUCAGCAGCUUUGCAGACACUAAUAAUUGCUCAUUGCCACUAAAAACUUACUAAGGGCCUGAUCUACCAAAGAUUUGUGUAUGCAAACUUAAUAGCGCGCAUAAAGCUGAUCUACUAAACUGGUGCAUCGAGGAUUGCGUCUGUCAAAUGAGCAAAACAGCGCGCGCAAUCCAUUUAGCAUGUUUGCCUUAAUAAAUAUGUAGAUUGUAUGUCGAUCAUCAGACCGCCAAUAAUUGGGCAGAUGCAAAUAGUAUUAUUUCGCACCCACAAUGUGAUUUAUCAAACCCUGAAACCAAUUGCGGUCACUGUUUUGCGUCUAUAUUUAGAACGUUUGAAAGGCAUGUGCAAAUUGGAAAGGCGCUACACACAAAUAGCGGCAGUCAUUGCGGGGAGAAGGAUGCAAAAGUGCAACUGUGUUUCGAUAAAUAGGUCAAACACGGAAUAGUUGCAAAAUUUUAUCUAUUUGUCUUAUUACCUCUGCCAAGGAGGUUAUGUUUUAUGUAGCGUUGGUUUGUUUGUUUGUUUGUUUGUCUGUUAGCAACUUUAUGGAGAAAGUAACAGACAGAUUGACCUGAAAUGUUCACCAGAGGUGUGUCUCAGCCCCAGGAGGAUCCAAUUACAUUUUGGUGAUAAUCCGGACAAAAUUCUGGAUACUGUGAUCCAGAACACACACAAAAAAGGGUGUCGUUGGAAUUUUUAAUGCUGAAAGAUAACCAAUGGACGGCACAGUGGUGUAGAUAGGCGGCACAGUGGUGUAGUGGUUAGCACUGUCGCCUCACAACCAGAAGGUCCUGAGUUUGAAUCCCUGUCAGGGCAUUUCUUGUUUAAGGGGGGACAUGAGCUGCUUGGCAGAGGUCUGCGCUCUCCGCGUGCUUUUCUAGUUGAUUUUAAAUUGCUUGAAUCUCUUUUUUUUUCAUUUCAAAUGUAUUUUCUUGCAUCCGUAAAAGACUUUGAAUCGCCUUGUGUGUAAAAGGUGCUAUACAAAUUAACUUCCCUUGCCUUUUAUGCAGUUGCUUGCUUCCCCAAAACGAUUGGUGCAACUCUACGGUUUCAAAAUUAAUUUUUCACCGACAAUUACUCUGCUCUUACAAACUCUCCAUGGUGAUGGCCAAUAGCGCACAUGAAAUCCUCGUUUAAAGAGGGCGAUCUGCACCACAUUUGCACCUGUUAUCAAUCGCACACGCAAUGAUAGUAGAUCACCCGCAACACGCCCACUCAUAGCACAUGCAAUUUCGCGCUCGCUAUUUGAUCAGGCCCUUAGUGUGCAGGGGCUGAUGAGGAAGUACUUCUGCAGUAGAUCAGCUGUUUCAUUCUUGAGAUAAAUGUAGCCAUCUCCCCCUGAACCUGACACUGUUAUCUGGAGAAGCCUUGACUAAAUCUGCCGUUCUAUCAGACAGCAUGAGAGUGAUGAGCCCGUUUGAUAGCCGGCAAAGAGGGGAAGUUUAUCCUGCACCAGAAGCCGUGGAAUCAAACGUGCCAUAAACCCGAGCAUAUGGCAGCUUUCUGCGGAUAUACUUUACAUACCCACUGACAACAGCAGAAAUACCCCAUUCGUAUCCCUUUUUAUGGGAGCUGCUGUGAUUUAGCCACAAAAUCAGAGAAGAAAAGAGUGAGGAAGCAAGUGAUGUCUCGGGGAUGACAGGAGCAGACAAAGAGUUGUUUUCAGACGUCGCCGCUGUCUGAAGGAGAAUAGCAGAAGAGAUGCCUAAUUAACACAGAAAGCACUAUCAUCCCAAGAGUGAGCGGCUCUGAUCCAGCAGCAUUAUCACCCUACCAUGACAUUGCCAAUCCAACCUGAAACCAGCUUUGCGGAGCUGAUACGCCUCUUUUCCUGAAUCAUCUGAUGUCAUAACUUAGUGCUCAGUCACUCUGAAUGCACAACAUCGCCUGCAAAGCUCCAGCCGUCACCAUCAGAUUUAUUUCCACUGAGUGCUUUUUAUCGCCAGGGCCCGCUCUUCACAGAUGUACCAUCAUUAUCUCAACACUACAUUAAAGUGAUUUAACAUAAUCUUAUAAAAUGUCAGCAUUUUUUAAUAUGUGCCUUAAAAAACUCAGAGGGGCACCUUUCCAUACGGACGGAAAUGCAUCAAGUAGUAAGUUUUCGGUCAUCUUAAAAGGCAUGAAUCGCAGUCUUGUGUGUCUUAACGUAGAAUCACUCACCAUUAUGAAGACUCCCCUUCAGGUUUGCAUCAGCUGGUAUUCACAGGGCUGGUUACCAUGGCAGUUGCCUGAUGGAUAGAGAUGUCAGACUGUCAACUUUGCUCAACAACAGAAGAACAUCUCCAUUAAUUUUAAAAGGUUGAGAAGAAAACAGUACUUAAAGGGACAUAUCACUGUUUUUAAAGCAAGGUUUUAUAAGAUGCAGAAUCACUGUGGGUCUGUUCUUUCCCAGUUGGAAGGUCAGGGGUUUUGCUGCGUUCGAGUAACCUCGAAAGUCAGAAGUCCGAGCUGGGAAUGACGUCACGCCCAGUUACCAGCGUAAGUCGGAAGAAAGCAAAAUCGGAGGUGGAAACAAGAUGGCUACAUCUAUGGAAGUUAUUUUAGCACUUGCCUUGUCUUUGCUUAUAUUCGGACAAGGCAAGCGCUAAAAUAACUUUCGUAGAUGUAUCGGAGGCGAAAACAAGAUGGCUACAUCUAUAAAAGUUAUUUUAGCGCUUGCCUUGUCCUUGCUUAUAUUCGGAUCUUAUCUUGUUUUCGCCUCCGAUACAUCUACGAAAGUUAUUUUAGUGCUUGCCUUGUCUGAAUAUCAGCAAGGACAAGGCAAGCGCUAAAAUAACUUUCAUAAAUGUAGACAUCUUGUUUCCGCCUCCGAUUAUGCUUUUUUCUGACUUGAUAACUGAAACGCUGUUAACUCAGGUUUGAUGUCAUUCCCAGCUCGAACAUCUGACUUCUACGGUAACUCGAACACAGCAUUUGAUCCCAGGUCCCGAUGUCUACAUGUCUCCAAAUGUGAAGAUGAAACAGUGCUAUUUGGGAAACUCUUCUUUUGCGUAUGUCUUUAUGUACUUCCAGGUGUUUACGCUUAGACUUAAAGGAGCAAUACGUCAAAUUUUUCAACCAUACAAAAAUGGUGGUGCAUGGUUGAUACAUGGUUGAUACAAAGGGCUUAUUCAUGAAAAUAAAAACAAGUGAUGGUGUAAAAAAACAUUUAAGACUAAUGUUUUUAAUUUCCAUUUCUGCACAUAACUCUGCAAAUAAAAGGCCUGCACCUCGGCUCUGAACCUUCACACUAUUAUCUCCUUUUUCCUUUUUUUCCCCUGUGUCUCAGCUGUUAAAAAGCCUUUUUUAUCCCUCUUUUAGAUCAGUAUAACAAACCCUCUCCUUUCUCCUAUAAUUUUAGUAAAUGCUGAAUGACAUUUCGCAAAUUGGUGUAACCUUUUUUGCAUGAAAUUGCAUAGGUCUCAAUGUUCCCCCUGCUCCUUUUCUUCCUUCUUCUACCGAGCGCUCUAUAACUUGUCAAAAAAAAAAAAAAAAGGAGUGGGAGUAAACUGGCCUUGAAAUUUUUCAGCAGAAGGUAAGUGCAGGAUUAAGAUCAUGUUAUGGCAUUUGGUUGUGUAAUUGGCCCUUAAAAGAAACAGGCUACAGAGUCGAAAUGUUCGGUGUUUGCGUAUAAGCCAGCAGCCUCAGCGGAGAGCCAGCAGCUGGUCAACACCAAGGCGCGAACAUUGUUUUGUCCCGCUCUCUGCUCUCCUAUUUCUGGGCAUCGCCGUCACCUUGGACAACACGCUGGCCAAAAAUAUGAGUCUUUCCCCCCCCUGUUCUUCUGUGAUUUGCCCUACAGUGAAAACUCAUUAGCAUUUUCCCUCUGCAAUAGCUGGCCUGCAGUGUACCCAUCUGUUGACUAAAUUUGUGCAGCCAGGUGUGCGUGUACGUUGUUGUUUGCUCCUUUUAUUUGGAAUCAAAUAGUGUUAUUAAUGCUAAUUUGCACUGUGAUGUUUUCCACAGUGAGAGCUUGUAACCCCCCCCUCCUUCCUAUCACACACGCACAUACUGGGUGAUCACAGCGGCGGUGCAUCUUGAGCUUCGCUUUCAUGUCAAGCUUUCGUUUUCUCAGAAGUAGGUGUCAGUCUCUCAUUUUGGUUGGCAACACUUUACGGCCACUUGCCUAUAAACUUCACAGCAUAUGGUCCCAUGGUGGAGUCCGGACAUGGCUCAGGUGCGGCUGGUUUUAUGGACCCCUUGUCUAUAAACCUCAAGAGCUAAUACCACAGCUGCAGAGUGCGAAGAAGAAGCUGAUAUUUAAGGAAUUAAAAAUCAAUGAUGAUGCUGCAGAAACUACAUUUUAUUGCCUUUAAGGUCACAUUGAGUCAAUUGAGAUUAAUUCCAGCAUCAGAUAACCACAAAGCCUUAAAAGCGUUUUCCAGUUUAAUUGAUUCAAUCAAACAAUACCCUAUUCAAACCAAGGAUUAGCCUCAUAUUAGCUCUAUUGUAUUACAGCGUUGACUGCUGACAUCACAGGAGCAGCCCAUUAGAGAUGAAUGGGACGAAUUCAUACCUAGCCAAUUACUGCUUUCCAAUAAUGUAAACCCACAGAGACCAUCCUCUUCCACCCACUCCUCUUCCUCCUGAAGAGAAUUGGGACUGUGUACAAGAACGAUGACUGGAAAUCAAUGCAGUGUUUGUUCUUAAUAGCACUUUCCACCUGCUUGUGUGGUGUUCUUUCUUCUCCUUGUAAAAGAAAGCAGCAGGUUGAAGCAUUUGUACCUGGUCUUUAUGAGAAGGACAGUGAAGUCUUACAUUAUGUACUAGUAGGACAAAGAGGAAUGAGUCUGAGUGCAGAGGGAACGAUUUUUUUUCAAAUAUGGUUUAUUCAUAAAAUCUUUACAAAAACUAAAGCAGUAAUCUUGACAAUACUGUUAUCCCUCUGAACUCUAUUGAGUCCCAGACUAUUUGUUCUACACUCCACUUCUCGCUAUUUUAAGAUUCAAUUCAUCAUCAGAAAGAAAAUUAAAGACCUUUUAGUUUAAACCAAGUUUUAGUAAUCGAAAAGUUAACAUGUUUGUCUAGUUUUUGUCAUUUAAAGGUCAAGACAUGAAAGUCUAUUUUAAGUUGACAAAAUAAAUGAAAAAAUAAAUAAAAUAGAAAAAAAAAAACUCAUCCUGGUCUAGUUUUGGCCUAUGAAAAAGUCAGAACAUUACAGUGUAGUGUCAGUAAGACAAAAAGUCAGAACUUUUUAGUCUGUUUGAGUCGACCAAAUUUAGAAGAUUUUAGUCAAGUUUAAAACCCUAAAAAUCUGAAUAUUUGAAUCCAGUUUUGGUUGGCAAAAAGUCACAACUUUUUAGCCUGAUGUCAGGGGACAAAGAGUACAAAUAUUUUGGUCUUCCUGAAGUCGACAAAAGGUAACAACUUUUCAGUCUUGUUUUAUACAAGAAAAAGUCCUAACUUUUUAGUCUGUUUGAGUUAACAAAAAUUUUUAAAACCCUAAAAAUCAGAACAUUUUGAUCUAGUUUUAGUCAACAAAAGUCACAACUUUUAACCUGAUUUCCGGGCACAAAAAGUACAAAUAUUUGAGUCUUCUCGAAUGUUUUAGUCUUUUUGGGUUAACAAAAAGUCCGAACUUUUUAGUCCAGUUUUAUACAACAAAAUGUCAAAACUUUUUAGUUUGGUUUGAGUCAACCAAAUUUAGAAGAUUUUGUUUUAAUCCUUAAAGUUUUAACCCUAAAGUACCAGAAUAUUUUAAACUAGUUAAAGUUGACAAAAAGUCACAACUUCUUAGCCUGAUUUCAGAGAACAAAAGUACAAAUAUUUUGGUCUUUCUAAAGUCGACAAAAAGUAAGAACUUUUGAGUAUAUCUGUGGAUGACAGAAAGUCUGAACGUUUUAAUCAGUUUGAAUCAACAAAAAGUUAAAAGAUUUUAGUCAGGUUUUAAACCCUUAAAAAUAAAAACAUUUCGAUCUAGGUUUAGUCAAUAAAAUGUCACAAUUUUUUUGUUUGGUUUAAGUCAAACAAAAGUCAGAACAUUUUAGUACUGAUGUGUAAAACAAAAUGUUGAAACUUUUUUGUGUAGAUUCAGGGGACAAAACGUCUGAACAUUUUUGUCUCGUUUUGAAAGAAAUAAAGACCCAGUAGACAUAAAGUCAUAACAUGUAUUUGAUUAUUUUUUCAGUCAAUAAUUUUUUUACAUUUUAGCACUUGUAGUUUCACGAUGCGAAAUUGUCCAGUCAAAUUACAAUUUAUCUGGUUUCGCGGCUGCCAGCUGUUUUUCUCUCCCACAAUACUGGAAAAUAGUGCUCUCCUUGUCAGUGAAGCGCACAAAAACACAUGGGAAAAUAGGGCCCAGGUUGAACAGUAUCAAAGUUCCCCUUUAAGACUGUGCCCCAGUUGGGCCACCCCAGUAUAAAACUCUAGCACUGUUAUUUGAUGGCACAUCAUUACAUUCUUAGAGUCGCAUGGAUACCACACUGACAAGCAUCCACACCCCUCUAUCAGCCGAACAAACACGCCACCCCCUUUUACAGUCAUCCCAGUCAUCAUUGCAUCACUCAAGUAAGUAACCCCACUAACACAGAGACUGCAGCCACUUUACAACUAGACACAUUCACACAUGCAAUUACAAGUGCACACUCCCACCAGAGAGUACACUCACGUAGAUAUUUAGACACACACACACUCACAUGCGGCCGUCACCCCCCCCUCCUGCUCGUCCCUAUUCCCUGGGCUGUCCAGACAAGCCCAGGUUGGUCUUGAGGAGAGUGGAGGCAGGCUGAACCUGUCCGCUCUGCUUACAGUCAUCGCCUGGCAGCAAACCUACAGGGUCAAACACAACUUCACUUCCUCCCAGAUGUCUCAGCAGGGAUGGAUUGAUCCCGCCUGGCACCAUGGGGCAAGUGGAAUGGAGAAGAGGAAACCGCAGUCCUCUGCAGAUCUGUCGAUGGAUUGAGGUCAGAAACGGACUCUGACACAGAGACAUAUGUGUUGCGAUUUGAGGUAUGUACAUCAAGAGCACUUAAAUGCUCUUUAUAUCUGGUGUAAGGGAUAUACAAGGCAUGAAUGUGCUACUAGAAGCUACAAAAAUGAAUUCAACAUCCAUUUAUUCUACUCUCUAAUAUUGCGUGGGAUAUGGUAUGCCACCUCAAAUGCUCUACAACAAAGCUGCUGACCAUUUCUAGUGAAUAAAAGUAUGGUCCUGAAUUCCAAAACACUAAAAAAGCAGAUAUUCGCCGUUGUUGUAAGAAUGUCAUUUUGGCAUUUGUCACUUAAGAACAAGAAAUCUUGUCCAAUAUAUUUCGCUUUUGGCAUUAAGUUUGCAAAAUUCCUCCCUCAUGCCUGUGAUUAGCCCUGGCAGCAGCCGCGGCAAUCUAGUGCUGAAUGUUUCAUAAAAGCGCUUUAUAAGGAGAUCAGUCAACUGCGGCUGGCAGUUGUUGGUUUGUGUUAAUACUAAAAAACUAGAGGAACUGGAAACGCUAUCCAGGGAAAAAGAAAUAAAAAAUAUAGAAGAUUCACAUUGCUACUGGUGGACUUUUGGAUGACUGGAUAAGUAAUGAUGUAAUCAGAAAGAGUUAUUUCAGGCUGUCCUUUCUUAAAAUCUUCAUUUUAGUCUAGUUUAAAUGAUAAACGGACGACGCUUAGUCUUCUUAAACGACUCUUUCAUUACUUUUCACAUUCACCCAUUCACACACUGAUGACAUUUCCUUGUAUUAAAGCUCCUAUAAGGAGUUCUUUGACAUUUAUGAAAUUGAUUUAAAUUCAUAUUAAUGCUUUUUCACGAUGUCCAAAAGCAAACAAGAUCAUCAGCAGCAAAAUUGAUGGUUUUUGAUUCCUAAUUUUAAACACCUGAAACCUGUGUGAGGGGGUAGGUGUCAGCCGAGGAGAUAAGGAAACAGCCAACUGCCGCUACUCAAGUAUUGCUUUGGCCACAGGGGGCGCCAAAGUUGACAUGAACAAAAAGUUCCACGCAGGAUCUUUAAACUUAAGAUAAUUUGAAAAAUGGAGUCGCAAAAGCAGUAAAUAUUAGCUAUUUAAAAUGUAAUGUUAAAAUCUUUUUUGAACAUCUUUCUUUUGACUUAACUGUCAAGUUUAUGGUAUUUAUCCAUAGCAGUCUAGAAACCCACAGAAAUAAACAUUAAUACAUUUUGUGGAUUUUAAAAAUGCGGUCUUUUGUCUUCAUUUACGCUGGUCUCCAUCUUUGUCUAAGUCCUACAUUAUAUUGCACACACAUUGAUCCUAUUGUGUAUUUUAGGGUUUAACAACAGCUAGUAAGAAACAUCUACGCAUGGCAUGUACUUAUCCUGUGAGGAACUUUUAGUUUAUGUCAAUUUUGGCGCCCCCAUGUGGACAAAACAGGCUUUGCUGAUCUUAUCCUCUACCUGUCAGCUGACUUUGCCGGUGAAACGCAUCAUUUAAUGUGCAAAUUGUAAAAACAGGCCUGUAAGGUUAACACCUACCCCCUCACACCAGUUUCAGGCAUUAAAAACAAGACUAUAGGAAUCAGCUGAUGCUCUUGUUUGCUUUUGCACAUAUAAACGCCAAAAAACUCCUUAUAGGAGCUUUAACCUAUGAAUUACAGAGAAAAGAGGAAAAUUAUGCACACUCUAAGCUUAUUUUUAUGUAAAUUUAUGUUAUUGGGGUACGCUUAAAUCAAACUAAAUCUGCAAAUUUACAGAUCAAAAUCAAUCAAACUAGAAUAUAUUUUCAUUUCCUGUGCAGGUGUUUGACAUCGUAUGCUUAUUUGCUUUGGGUUCUGAUUUAUACAGCAACACCUGCGAGUAGGAUAAUGCUGUAGUGCCUCAGUUUCUGCACAUAAAAGCAAAUAUACACACUUUGGAAGCAGGUCAACUGUGAGUUCAGUCCACAUCUGAUGUAACAGCAGCUUCUCAGACUGGUUCAGGGAGCUGUGAUUAUGGACCCAAACCUGGGGCUGCCUUUGGGACUCACAAAAUGUUCUCAAAUGCAGACUAUAAAUGUGUCAAAUUGAACAUUGUUACAGCUUCUUUUUCAUAAAAAAAUAGCGUUAAAAAAGACCCAGAGAGGAACUUUGCAACCCUGUGCCAGUGUUUCCUGAGCGAGUGAUGAGUGCGCCAUCAUUCCUCACACUUUCCAAGGCUGAAAGGAGCCCACAAUGACAACCCAAACAAUGUGAAUCAGGAGAUGGAGCAACAGUGCAUCAUUAGUGCACUGUUGCCAUGGAGCCCAUGUUGGUAAAAGUAAUACGUCUGCAGCUGUUACAUCCCCAGGAGCAGGUGAAAUAAUGAAGCAUUACUUUUUUGGCCCCUGAUGUGGCACUUUGGGUUUCCUAAAGCAAAUACUCCAAGAAUGGAAGGUAAAACCUCGGUCAGGAGGAAAAGGGCACAGACCUAAACAAUCUAGGAGGCACAAUUUGUUAAAUUCUUGCUGCUCUGUUGCAAUAGCCUGGAUCCAGCCCAGUGAGGCGCACAUUCUGAGUACAUUCGUACAUGCUCAUUAACCACAUUAUCAUUUGAAUUUGUCUUUGGGGCUGCCUCCGUGGAUUCAUUGUCAUCUGUGCUGGUGGCGGGCCGGUUUGUGGGCUAUCACGCUGACAGGGCUGCUUUGCUUAUGCCUGCGUGAGGACGCAGACAAACUGUGUUCUGAUCACAAAUUAGCACAUCCAUUCACAGCGUUUGAUGUCUGUGUGCUCAAACUGCCACAAACCACUGAAAGCACUGCCAGAUCUCUGAAUCAUAAAAUUAAUCACUUGGCAACCGAGGGGAAUACGAGGGAGAAGAAAUCAUGGGGAAGGACGGUGCUGUAACAGAGUUGGUCCCGACCAAAUAGAGAAACGGUGUGUGGAUGCACGGAGUCUGGCUCGACCACACUGGAAAUGUCCACCAUUAAGCAGACCAAUCACACGGCUCUAAUCCGCCGUCGUAUUUGCCGCCUGAUUUGAUACGUAACACAUCAACCUGGUUUAAUCAUGCGUUCGCUCGCAUCUUUUGAAUUUUUGAUGACUUGCUUGCUUAACUCCUUAACGGGAAGAUUGACUCAUUAAUAAAACAUUGUGUUGGCUUUACAUCUAGACUGGUAAGAGUAUAUGUCAUUACACGUACGCAGAGUGAAGCCUGCUCGCCGCGGUCUUGCCUUCGACUUGUCAUAGAAUCACCCGCAUGCUUUGAAGGAGUGCUGUGGAAAGACACCGGGAGUGAGGGGAGAUCACACUAAAAAAAGAGAAAAAUCACUCCAGUCUCUCAUUUUAUAUAAGACUACUUUUUCCCAUUUCAUACGGCUUUUAAAAAAACAUCGCAAUUUAUCUGACAGAGCCGGGCGAAAAUGAUAAAAGCGAAGAACAUGGAGUCGCAGUGACAUGGCCCACAUUCAGAACCGUCUCAUGCCAACAUAUUCGCUUUGACAGUGCUAUUUAAAGUACCACAGCGAUGACCUAUUACCCGGUUGUUGCUGCACUUGCUGCUAUUGUCCUUGGUGAUGAUAAUAAUGCCAGCUUGAGAGGAGAUUGCUGUGGAAAAAAAAGGGAUGAGCUCCGUUGUGCACGCUGCAUUUGCUUUUAUUGCUGGCAUGCCUUCAUCUUGCACAUUCUCCCCACUGUAUUAGGCCUUAGUUAAAGACACAAGCUAAUAAGGUUGCAGGAGACAUUUUAAUGGCAAUUGCUUUUCAAGCCUCGCAAAUGGCACAGCUCUGAGGACGGCAGCGUUAUUCAGCCAGACAAUUGGACAUUCAUGAUCCCCCGGUGGAAGAGGAGAAUUGAAUUUGUGUAACUUUUCCUGAAGCUGUAGCUGCAGAUCAAGAGUUUCUGAGUUAUAUCAGAUGAAAUUCACCAACAUCAGCUGUCUGGACUGAAACACACUUUGGUACACAUCCCUAACUCCCAGAGGACCACCCCUUCAAUGACUUCCAUCAUUCUAUUUCCUGUCCAGUUUUGGGUGAAAUGACAUAUUUCAGAGUCUAUUCAUGCAGGAGACUUUACACCAGAAGUUUAUUUAGGGAUCUCCUGGGGAUCGCCGAACCCCCCCAGGGUCUGAUGGAUCGAAGGAAAGGAGAAAAAAGGAGCUGUGGGUGAUCCUGAUUGUCACAGACUUUUAAUUCAAGUAAUAAAUAUGUCAAGAUUAAUUUUGGCUCCAGAUUGAAGGAUAAUGCCGACUGUGGGAAAAGGCAUACCUACAAACAGAGAUAUGACAUACAGUGACUGAUGAACUGAGGUAUUUCACUGAUUACUUAAUGGAGGAACCUUUUUAACUCUGAAUUUAAGGCUCUUACCUGAUAACCAUAUUGUUUUUUCUUCAUCCAUUUUUUAAACAAAAGAUGGUUCAAUUUGACAACAAACUGGGUUCUGAAAUAUUAAGUGAAUGCUAAUAGGAAUAUUAAAGCCAUUCAGAACCAUCCAUCCAUCCAACUAAACAUCACUCCAUGUAUCCAUCCAUCUAUCCAUCCAUCCAUCCAUCCAUCUAAACAUCAAUCCAUUUAUCCAUCCAUCUAUCCAUCAUCUAAACAUCCAUCCAUUUAUCCAUCCAUCUAUCCAUCAUCUAAACAUCCAUCCAUCCAUCAAUUCAUUUAUCCAUUCAUCCAUCCAUCAUCUAAACAUCCAUCCAUCCGUCCAUUGUAACAUGUAUCAAUCCAUCCAUGCAUCUACUGUAUAUUAACAUGCGCCUAUCAAUUGAUCGAUCCAUCCAUCCAACCAUCCAUCCCAACAUGUAUCCAUCAUUCAUCCAUCUAUUUUAACAUGCAUCCAUCCAUCCAUCCAUCCAUCCUAACAUGUAUACAUCCAUCCAUCUUAACAUGCAUUGAUCCAUCCAUCCAUCCAUCCAUCUAUCUAUCUUAACAUCCAUCCAUCCAUCCAUCUAAACAAUAAUCCAUUUAUCCAUUCAUUCAUCCAUCGUCUAAACAUGCAUCCAUCCAUCCAUCCAUCCAUCUUAACAUGUAUCGAUCAAUCCAUCCAUCCAUCCAUCUAAAUAUCUAUCCAUUCAUCAAUCCAUCCACACUAACAGUCAUCCAUCAAUCAAUUCUUCUAUUCAUCUAAACAAGCAUCCAUCCAUCCAUACUCAAAAGCUCAUUUUACAGCAGUAUUUAAACAUAUUUAUGUAGUGGUAAAAAAAAAAAAAAAAUCUCUAAAAAAAUGUUUUGGUAAACCAUUUAAAAGAAAUGGUUUGAAAUUAUUAAAAUAGUUUGGAUUGUGUAGCUGCAAAGAUUCAGGCAUAAUUUUGGGGUAACUGAGAACAUGAUUUGACUCAGCUUUUAAAUAUGGCAGCUGUCAUCUUUGAGCUCAGUAAAGCCAUGUUCAGAAUCCAUCACAGUGCUUCUGUCCAUGAAUCUGCCCAGUUAGAUAACUUUUUAACUUGUUAUGACUGCUUUCCUAAGUCUUAUUCCUAACAAACAAUAUUGAAAUAUAAAGACACACAUAGAGCCUUUACUCCAGUCCACCUUUGUCAAGUCCAAACCACUCAAAACAGUCGAGUUCACAUUGACUCAAGCUUGUUAACCUCAGGAGCACUCACACGCACGUCGCAAUACUUCAGCUGCAGGAGAUGCUCAUUGUAGGCGGUGGGUUCUGUUCGCUGGACAGAGGGGCUUUAAGUGGAGAGCACUUCAACGCAGGUAAAAGUCUGUCGGCUUCUCAGGGAUGUGUGUCCGGUUUUAUCUUUCCUGCACCGAGCUCAUCGACGGUGACAGUCAGGUCUUAUGGCGAGAGAGUUCCAGUCGAGUUUGAUUAGAGCAAAAGUGUUUCUGUGGGACGUUAAAAAAACAAGGAACAAUGGAGGAAGAUGGUAGGUUGGUUGAUUCUUGACCUUGGGAAACAAUGAUGCAAGAUGGUAUCAACCUAGAGUGAUCACCUUGGACAAUUACGUUUGUUAUAUUAGCUUUUAGCGCAAUGAACAGCCUCUAAGGUCGUGUUCACACCUAAAGGUCAGUUUCCUGAUUCGAAUCCAAGGCAAGAGGAUACAUUUGUUUUGAUUGUUUAACUGGUCCGGUUUGCGUUCACAAAGGACAAAAUCAAUCGCUCCAGAAAACGGAACCGGAAGUCACGUGACCGCGAAUAUCGUUCGGUUAUUGGUUAUCAGUUUAUGCUUGAAUACAAACCCCGCUCUGCUGUCUUUGCCUGUCAUGGAGCAUCGUAGGCUGAUUUUGCCAAACAACAGACGGACAAAGACAAGACGGCGACAGGCAUUAAUGAGAGUCUACCACGAUGCGUUUUCUCUCUAGUGUCAAUCGGGACAAGUGAGGUGAGCGAACAACAUUCAUUUCACAACCAGCAUUACAAAAAGCCUAGCCUAGGUGCUUUUCCUGUGAUUGGUGUGGAUGACGUUCACACCAGAAAUGGACCGCUCCAGAGUUCACUUGAUAGAGGUCCGAGACCACCUCUUCAGGCAGACCAGAGUUCGUUUAUUUGGUCCGGACCAGAGUUCGAGGUCAGUGUUCACGAACUGCACCAAGGGGGGGUAAACGUUCCAGGGUUCGGUUUAACCGCACUAAACGUGGGUGGUGUGAACGCGCCCUUAGAGCCACAAGAACGGCGAACAGGAUGUUAUUAAAAUACAAUUUACCUUGCUUUAACAAAACCUGGUCUACAUUUAUUAAUAAACUGACUUUCAACGAUCGCCGGACCCCCCAAACCACAGCAUCCAUAAAAUCUGGCCCCAUCUUACUCACAUCCACAUAAUCAGCACAAACACAUCAACACAUUUGCAUCUGCCCCCAUGCAUGACAUCGGACAUCCUGCCGGACCUGCUCUCCACUUGAGCUUACAGCUUUUAUGCUGGUCGGUCAGGGGUCUCCUUGAUUUAGAAGGGGGUUUGGAGCAAUGGGGGGGGGGGUGAAACAAAAGCUUCAUACACACACGUGCACACAUUCACAUGCAUACACACACUACUUUAAGAUACUGUUAACUGUUUUUGUUUCUGUCUUGUCUGUAUAUGUACCCACCAUCACUAUUUUUGUGUUUUUGUUUUGUUUUGUUUUGUUUGUAUGUUAUAUAAAAUAAAAUUUAAAAAAAAAAAAUACAAUUUACAUAUCUUCACUCCAAAGUUUCAUGACACAGAGAGAAGUUGUUAUAUAUUUCUUUGAGCCCUUAUUGUAAUUCUAAAUAUAUUCACGACUCACAAAAAAUCCAGCGAGAUAACUCCGGAUUUUGCCUCGGCAGAGACAUCUACAUAAACAUGAUUUGAACUUUUUCGUCGUGUGGAUUCGCAGAAAGCCUUGUUUUUCUAACGACAAUAACGCAUGAUAAACUGUGACAUAUUUACACACAUCAUAGUACCGCUCUUUAACCGAGCACAUGUGGGUUUGUCAGCUUCCGAGGCACUGGGAGCUCAACGUCAGGAUUUAGUGCAUGUCGAAGCUUACGAAUGAGGAAUGCAGCGAGGGAGUGUGUCUCUUGACUUUAUGGUUGCAUGCAUAUGUCCUUGUGUGCGCACGUAACACCGGGGCCUUCAUCCUUCAGCUUGUGCAAGAGCGUGAAGGCAUUUGAAUGUGUACAAAUGAGGGCUCUGGCACGAAUGUGUGUUUAUGCAUGGAUGCGUACAGCACAUGUGUAGGUGUGUAUGCGUGUGAGGCCUGUUGCUGGCCAUCCAAGCGGACAGGUGUCAGGUCGUAUCUGUGCACUGCUCCAGUGACCAGGUGGAAACCUGGAGGAGGGAAGGUGAAUCACUGGGGCACACUGGGGCAUCAAAACUGCUCGGCUUAGUCUACUAUUACCUAAACACACACACAUACACUAUUGGGGACACCCUUACAAACACACACACACACAUUCAAAGUGUUAUCUUGGAGAGGAGAGGAAGAAACAUGGGAGGGAAGAGGAGGAGAGUGAGUGCAUGCAAAGAGAGUAAUCAGAUCGGUCUGAGGGGGGGGGGCUAGUUGACUCGGUCUGGCACCCCGCUCGUAAAUACACAUUCAGAUUGAGUUGUGAAAAGUCACAUUCAAAGUGAAGUACACACCUACUUACGAAUUUGGAUUGCAUUACCGAGCGCAGCAUGAGAACCGCACACCCGUCCAAAAAAAGAGAGAGAAACGCGCCGAAAACGGACACGUCCAAUCAGCAGCAGCUUGAUUGAAUUGAGGAGAUAGAAAACACGCAAACAGCAUCCCAACUCUUUCCUCCUUCCUCAUUUUUGCACUCCCAAUUAAUUUAAAUGCACACACACACACUUAUACACACUUAUACACACACACACACACACUGUGGUGGAGAUAAUUGCUGCAGCAGCGAUACAAACUCAUGACAGGAGAGUGAAGCAGAAAUAACAGCGCUGAUGUUCCCUUCGACGUACAUCGCUCUGUCAAAUCCUCCACUCUCCUCUUUUCAAACACACACUUACAUACUCCAACACCAGCCUCCUAAACCUCCCUAUUCUCAGCUCAACCCCCACGCACACACACACACACACACCACGGACACUUUACCGCCUCCUCCCUCGUUCACCCACUGCCUUCUUGUCACCUUAGUCACUCCUCACCUCCUCCGGCGCCUCCACUCCUAAUUUCCUCCCACUCUCACUCCUGUUGCCUACUCUCCUCCUCUGUUCCUCACACCUGACCCCACACUCUCCUCUGUCCUUUUCCCUCUCCUUCCUCAUUUUUUAUGUUAUUUCCUGCUUUCCGUCGCUGUUUAUGUCUCCCACUCCAGAUCUCUGUCCCCGUGCCCCUCCUUCGCCUUUGGGUGCAGAAGCAACAGAGAAGUGUCGGAGAGCCUCUGAUCACAGCGGCGUUAACUACAAUUGAGGGUGACGUGUGGCGGGAUGAGACCCAUGUACCGGAAAACCUUAGCUGGCCUGCCUGCAUUCCCUUUUCGUCUCUGGCGUUGUGUGUGUGAGUGAGUGUGUGUGUGUGUGUGCAUAGCCAGCUAUUCUAAUGGGUAGGAAAUGUUACCAGCCCAGUGGGCUGUGAAGGGCUGAACUCACCUUGAGCACUGACAGAGAGAGAGAGGAAGACGGAAGGAGAUACAUAGGCAGACAAAAGACUAAUGAGGUACAUAUACAUAUGUAAGAGAUACAUGUAUUCUUCAUGCUAUGGUAAGGAUAAGCAGGUACAUGCUUGAAAUAACCCUAUUGUCUCUUUCUUUUAUAGCUCUAUACAGAUGGAAACGAAGCUGAUCAAUGAGCCUCUAUUCAAAGUCUUCAGUCCAUAAAUCUCUUCACCUGCUUUUCCUGAUAUUCUUUGAAUUCGGCAUCAUUUCUAAGCUCCCCUUCAGUGGAAAUUUAAGAUAUUUUAUUCAGACACAGGGGGGAGGGCGGUGUGUUGUGAAGCGUCCUCGUUCAGGUCAGAAACUUUUAAUUACGUGUUGAAAAGUCCCGUACUUUUCUUGAUCUUGUCUCGUGCAAGUGCAAGCCGGGUUUAAACAUGCACUUGCACAGCCUCUCUACGAACAUCAGUAACUGUGAGUUAGGAAUGGGCGCAAUGAAUGGAUGAUCGAUUAAUUGAUUGUUAAAAGGCAUGGUUGACGAUCUGAGAAGCAGUUGAAAAAAACUGAGCCGUUGAGGCAGAUUUGAAGAAAGCGUCCCUCCGCCCACCACACAAACCUCUCCCCUCUGUGCUCCACGAUAACUCCCCCUCGAACCUGUAUCACCCUCCCAACGACACACCCCCUCUGGCAGAGCAAGAAUCGGCUGACAGAAGAUCCUACGCUAGCUUCACCACGUCGGAUUGCUAGUGAUUAGCGGCAGUAAACGCCAGCUCUGCUAGCUAGCACAGUCUGCAGCUGCCUGGACAGCUACCGUGUAAUAAGAGUUAUUUAUGUAACAUGUGCCACGAUAAAAGACAAAAAUUACCUGUUCAAUAAAAACUCUGCUGUCUUAGUGUCUGUUUCCAGGCCCAAAUCCUGGCAGAGCUUUCUUCGCUGCUUGAAGGAUGACCCCGUGUUAAUUCGAGUUAGAUUCCUCGUUUGGUCACAUCUCCUCUUUGUCUCCGUCUGCUUAUGUUUUCUUAACACUUGGCGGUGGGGCAAGCAGAAGUGUUUUUUUGUUUGUUUUUUGUAUCCUCCUCCAUCACAGUUCCUGUAGCUAAGCCACUACGCUACUUUUAGCCGCUCAGAACUCCGAGGAGGGCCAGGAGAGUGGGAGGGGACGAGUCGGAACUGUGGGAGAGGGGUGUGUCAAAUACAGCAAGGUGAUUGGAUGGAGAGGCGGAGCUUGAGAUUGACCGAUAGGAGCUGUCCGGGAUGGAUGGCUCCCAUUGGUCAAUGUUUUUGCAGCCCUGCACCUGCUAGGGUGAACGGAUUUUUUCCUUUCUUUUUUCUCUUCACCUUGUAGAGAUCACUAAAGGACCAUGAUCGCCAUAUAAACGAGGUUCAUAAUAAUCACCAAUCUCCAGAUCGUCAACCAUGCCUUUAAGAAUUACAUCGAUCAUGCAACAUUUUGAUCGAUCUAACAUUAUUAACAUAUUCCAGCAAAGAUCAACCUCGGCUGAUCGGGAGGUAUACCCUCUUUGUCCAGUGAGUGUUUGUGUGUUAAAGCGAUGCAGUGACUUUCACAGUGUGUAAGGAUGUUGACAUUUUACAAAGGGAGCGGUACAGCGUCAGAAUAGUAAUACAGACGCAGAAGUUGAAAAAAGCAAAACAAAGUGUGGUGCGGGACCAUUUCCAGCUGAAAAAUGAUGAGGUUUGCUGCAAACACUAUGAUGCCGCGUACAAGUACAGCACAACAAUGACCCCAAUGAUGUACCACUUGAACGACAUACAUCCGACUGAGGCUAUUGAAUCCUCUGAGUGCUCUCAUCUCAACUGACCAUCAGCUCCUUGCUAGCAAGGAGGAUCUGUACGGUGACCAGAAAUCCUCGAUUUCAGGGGACAGUCCCUGCUUUGGAUGACCUGUCCCUCGGCUAAAGAUGUUCUUGGAAAUGUUCCUGAUUUUAGUGCUUCAUGAUUGACAGAAAAACUAAUGGUAUUUACGGUAGACGGACAGGUAGGAAGUGCAAGUGAGCAUGUAGCAUGCAGUCCUUAACGCCGUGGUUCUCAAAUCCAGUCCUCGAGCCCCCCCGUCCUGCAUGUUUUGGAUGUUUCCCUGCUCCAACACACCUGAUUCAAAUGAUCAGCUCGUUAUUAAGCCAUUACAGAGCUUGAUAACGAGCUGAUCAUUUGAAUCAGGUGUGUUGGAGCAGGGAGACAUCCAAAACAUGCAGGAUGGGGGGGCUCGAGGACUGGAUUUGAGAACCACUGCCUUAACAACAGUGAGGGCGGUAUUUGAAUGAGGAAAAACAUGUUUUUUGUGUAUUUUCUAUCAUUCGCAUUUAACAAAACGACCAAAUCAAUGAUUGUGUAACGGACAGUUUAUGCAGAGGGGGGGUCCAUGACGACAAGCUGUCUUUGUUUUUGUUGUUUCAUGGUGAGUUUGACUUGUACUGGGGUUACUGUCAUUUUUGCCUUGCACUUUAGUAUUACGUGGAUGUCACGUGUGAGUAUGCUGAGGGACAACGUCGGAAAACCAGGAAGAGACAGAUGAACAAGAACGUCGUCUGCACAAUCCCAGCUAUUUUUGCUUUUACUGUUGGUUUUAAGAAGGGUGAACAUGGUAGUUUCAUUUACUUUAUUGUUGUUCAACUUAAAUUCUUUGCAAUAUGUUGUUUUAUUGACAUUGUCUUUAUUAAUUCGUUAUUUAGUUUUCACGGUUGUACCACUUAUAUCUUCCAGAAAUAAAAGGUUGUGGGAAUCAGUUUGAAGUGUGGACCAUUUAUAACCAACAGUUACAGAUUGAUCAUCAAUCUAUAUGAUUAAUCAAUCAAGGGACUUUCUUAAAAUGCCCAUUCCUACUGUGAAUACUUGCAAGAAAAGGCAGAGUCGUAUAAACAAAUUAAUAAACAGUUAAAAAGUCCCUGUCAGUGCAAGCUCAUCUUUGUCAAACGGUUUUAAUCUCAUCCUCAAAAAUGGUGAAACCAUGCUUGACACAAACAACAGUUGGAAAAAUUAACAUCCUAAAGCAUAACAAACAACAACAACAACAAAAAACAUCUGGUUUCCUGCAGCAAAACAGGCCGAAUCCCCACAACGAGAUGCGAAGAAGCCUCGAUAGAAAAGGAGGCUGUAACAGCAAAUAUACGCCAAUUGUUAAGUAAUCACAUAGAAGUCCAGUGCAUUGCACAAUCCCUGCAAUGUGAUGCACAUGCAAUGUGUCUGUGGAUCUCUCCUCAGCCAUCCUGCUGUUCAGAUGCCAAUAAGAGGCAAUAACAUUCAGUGGGGGCAGAAACUGUAGGAGACUAUAGUCCCCUUGGCUGCAGUUCGGUAGCAAAUACUCACACACAUGAAGAAAAAUGCGCGCACACACAGACGCUCUCACUGGACACCUUUUGCUAAUUACCUUUACAUUUUAUCCCCCUGCUUACUCAGGCAUUAUUUCAAGCAACAGCAGGUUAUUGACUCUUGAGAGCAUGUGUGUGUGUGUGUGUGAGCUAAUAGGUGGUUGUCGCACUUUGUUUCCUGUCCGUUUUUGAAAUUCACCGCAUUUGAGGCCAAAGUGCCGAGCGCCGCUUAGGCUCUGGUACAACAGAUGGAAAAUCCGUCACGAUCAGUGCCGUCGUUUUCCUGAAAUCAGCGUUUGAAGGUGGGACAAAGAAAGCUGUGAACCAGGACUGGAAAGUGAGUCAAGUCUAUUAUCUAUGAGGAACUAUCCUCAAUAUCUUACGUACCCUAUCAGGGGAUUACAGACACGAACUCAAACCCCUGUAGUCGGGACUGGUCCUCCUUUCGAGAAGCUGUUAUUGAUUCCUUUGCCUAUCGGCGACUCAGUCACAGCCGUCCACUCUUUAAUAUUUGACAUUUUUUCCAUUAAUCUUCAUCAUUUAUCAUAGUUGGAUGUUCAGUCUGACAGUCGGAAAGAAACCUCCCAGAUUUGAUCCUCUCUAAAUCUGCAGAGAUAAAGACACAAGUAGGAACACACAUGCGUGUUUCUUGCACUUGUACAGGAGAAUAGAUACAGCAAUGGCGACGGAAGAUUUUCUCUUUUUUCUCGACUUGGGAGUGAGCAGCAUGUCUCUCUAUAUAUAUUGCACUUUCCUUCACCUUGGUGUCCCCCCAGAGAGUACACCACAGCAGUGAUGCAUCAAUGGAGGAGUCCAAGCUAUCUAACUAAGGUAGGGAAUACAGACAGAACAUGACGUGCAGAGUGUUUUUUGUUAAAAAAUCAAUUUAAACAGCCCCGGACAUUCAAAUCAAGGCAAAACUCUCCACUUCACACAGCCUAACCAUGACUGACUGACUCCAAGAGUCUCUGUGCUCCCCGUGUCUUCAUCUGAAUGCUGCACUGUUGCCAUAGAAAUAAUCCUCUGAACCUGACAAAAACAAACAACAACAAAAUAAAACUGCCAGCCAAGAAUAACCCUGAAAGAACUGCAUCUCUAUUUAGUGUCAUGCUGAACUCAACAUCUGAUAUCCAGUCAGAAAUCAUGUGGACAUGAUCUAAAAGAAGAAUUUGUUGGAGUCAAACUGCAGCUGGGUAUAAAAAAGUCGUACCAAAAACUCUCUCCAGCUACACCUGGGUCACAAAUGGUGAAAUGUGAGGUUCCUAAGUGUGUUAUCACAAAAUCUGCUGCGAUCAUUGAACCAUCUUAUCCUGAGAGAGACUUAACUGAGUGUUAGAAGCCAAGGACAAGUUCAGCUACUGACUCGCUCCUGCUCUCAGGAGUAACUAUUUGUUUGUUUUUAGGGUAAAUUACUGUAUUUCCUAUUUCACAUAGUAAAAAAAAAUAAUCAAGUUUUCUAAUGUCAUGGACACUGUAAAUAAAUAUAUUUAUUUACAGCAUAUUAUAGGUUUAAAGAGGCCCUUUUAUGAAAUUAGUCAAUUUUCCCGAUUAAAUGUAUUAUUUGUGUUAAUUUAAGUGUAAUUUACUGUAUUUCCUGUUUCUCAUGAAUAAGAAAGUCAAGGUUCUAAUGUCAUUGACACAGUAUAUCUAUUCACGGCAUAUUAUAAGUUUGAAGAGGCCCGUUUAUGAAAUUAGUCAUUUUUCCUGAUUAAAUGUAGUGUUUGUGUUAAUUUAAGUGUAAAUUACUGUAUUCCAGUUUCCCGUGAAAAAAAUAAUCAAGGUUUCUAAUGUCAUUGACACUGUAUAUUUCAUUUACGGCAUAUUAUAAGUUUAAAGAGGCUGUUUUAAGAAGUUAGUCAUUUUUCCUGAUUAAAUGUAGUGUUUGUGUUAAUUUAAGUGUAAAUUACUGUAUUCCAGUUUCCCAUGGGAAAAAAAGAGGUUUCUAAUAUCAUUGAUGCAAUAUAUUCAUGUACAACAUAUUAUGAGUUUAAAGAGGCCGAUUUAUGAAAUAGUCAUUUUUCCUGGUUAUAUGUAUUAUUUGUGUUAAUUUUAGGGAUGGGUCCGAAUAUUCGGCGCCGAAAAUAUUCGGCCGAAAAGCAUCAAAAAUGAAUUUUCGGUUUUCGGCCGAAUAGAUGUUAUGGCCGAAAAAAAUCACCGAAUAGUGUGGAUAAACAUUGGUCUAGUAUGAACUCUCAAAAAUGGAAAACGCAGACGGCGCUGUUUUACCUGUUUUAGUAGCAUGUUGAUGACGUAAUCGGAACGCGACAAGGCGUUCCCGUGCUGAUACGACGCACACGAUACGUGCAGCUGUCUUGGCUCGAAGCCGUUCAACCGGCAUGUCUGCGGUUUGGAAAUAUUUCGACAUAUCAGAGAAAGAUGGUCUGAUGGCAAUUUAUAAACUCUGCUCUGCUGAAGUGUCUCGAGGUGGUGUGACGGCAAAAACUUUCAGUACAUCGGGGCUAAUCAACCACUUGAGCGCUAAACAUAAGGACAAACAUGACGACUUUAAGAAACUCACUGCACAAAAGUUUGCACAAUCGUAUAUGCAUGCAUGUAAGUGCAUUUAUUGUUGAAGUCCUCAGGCCUGGAUUUGUGUUUACUGUUGCACAAUCAUGUAUAUGCAUGCACGUACCUGCAUUUAUUUUAUUUAUUUUGCAUAUGUGCAUUUUAUUUUAUUUAUUUUAUUUACUUUAGGCUAUCCUACAGGGAAAAUUGCACUUUUUUGUAUUGUUAUUGCAAAGAUGUUAUUUACUUAAUUUUAUUUUAUUGAAUGUUAUUGUUAUAGCAUUGUUAUGUCAUGUCAGCUGAAUAAAUGUUUCAUGGUUCAAACAUAAAGUGAUUAAUAUUUAAGUUUGCCAGGUUUUGCCAUAAUCAGGUAGCUUUAAAACAAAUGUACGGCAAUGACAGCAAUUGUACAAAAGUUGCUUGGUGAUAAAAAUUCAUAGUUUAUAUACAUAUUUAUUAAUCAUAUUCGGCUAUUCGGUUAGGGUUAUUCGGCCAAGUGUUUCUUAUAUUCGGUAUUCGGUUUCGGCCAAGAUUUUCCCAUUCGGUCCAUCCCUAGUUAAUUUAAGUGUAAAUUACUGUAUUCCUGUUUCUCAUGGGAAAAAAUAAAUAUAAAUCAAGGUUUCUAAUGUCAUUGACACAGUAUAUUUAUUUACGGCAUAUUAUAAGUUUGAAGGGGCCCGUUUAUGAAAUUAGUCAUUUUCCCUGAUUAAAUGUAUUGUUUGUGUUAAUUUAAGUGUAAAUUACUGUAUUUCCCAUUUCCCUGUUUCUCAUCUCAUUGAUGCAAUAUAACUAUUUAUUGCACAUUAUCAGUUUACAGAACCUCUUUAUAAAGUUUGUCUGUUUUCUAAUCAAAAGAAUAUUUAUGAAGAUAUUUUAAGUGUAAAUUACUGUUUUUUUCUGUUCCCUAUGGGGGGGGGGGUCAAGGUUUCUAAUGUCAUUGACACAGAAUAUUUAUUUACGGCAUAUUGUGAGUUUGAAGAGGCCCUUUUAUGAAUUUAGUCAUUUUUCCUGAUUAUAUGUAUUGUUUGUGUUAAUUUAAGUGUAAAUUACUGUAUUUCCUAUUUCCCUGUUUCUCAUCCCAUUUAUUUAUUUAUCUAUCAGGGACAGUGCACAUUGAUAAACAUGACAAUUAAUAAAAUCAAAAGGCAUGUAAAUGCGCCAGAGUUAGCCGGAGCUAGUUUUCGUCUGUAGCCCCUGGGCAGGUUAUUAAAAAUGGUGUGACCAUCCAUACAAAAUCCAUACAUUAUAAAAUACAGUGCAAUCCACUUACUACAAAUAGAGAUACAAAGGAAAUACAAAGUGGUUAAAUAGAAUAUAGAAAAUGGCAGUGGCAGUUACUCGUGAGUGCAAGUUUGAUUGGCCUUAAGCCACCUCUUGAUAUUGGAUUUAAAUGUAUGGUAAUGUGCGAUGACCCGGACUUCGCUGGGAAGACUGUUCCAGUGAUUGGAGGCUCUCACAGAGAAGACAGAUUUACCGAAAACACUUUUCCUAAACGGUACCAGGACGUCUCCUCUGGUGGUUGCUCUGGUGUUUCUUCCACCACUGCUAGUUCUCUGCAUGAACUCUUUAAGUGGUGGAGGAGCCAGCCCAUCUAUCACUUUGAAAAUAAGACAUAGAUCCAUAAAACAUUUAAAACUUUCAAAACUAAAUUAGUUGUAAUUUUGUACUAUGUGGCAGUAAUGAUAUCUGUUGGGUUUUUGAUCCAGUACUUUCAGUGUCUGUUUGUUAAGUGACUCUAUGGGUUGUAAAGUAGUUCUGUUGGACUGAGACCAAGUUGUAAAGCAUUGCAUUGAUGCAAUAUAACUAUUUACUGCAUUAUAUGGAUUUACAGAAGCCCUUUUUUAAGUCUGUGUGUUUUCUAAUCUAAUGAAUAUUUAUGGAGGUAUUUUAAGUGUAAAUUACUGUAUUUUCUGUUUCCAUGGCAAAAAAUACUCUGGGUUUCACAUGUCAUCAUUGCAAUAUAUCUAUUUACUGCACAUUAUCAGUUUACAGAAGCUCUUUUAUGAAGUUUGUCUGUUUUCUAAUAAAAUGAAUAUUUAUGGAGAUAUUUUAAGUGUAAAUUACUGUAUUGUCUGUUCUCAUGUUAUGAAAUACUCUGGGUGUCACAUGCAUAUCACGGGCCUGCAGAGACCCUUUUAUCAAUGAGUCUAAUGUCUAAUAUAUGUUAAAUUUCCGUUUGUUUUUUGGGUACUCAACUCUAUUCCCUAUUCCUUUCAAAUCAUAAGAAAUAUAAUUUUCGUAAAAUUACAUUCAACAUAAGCAUACUUCUGCGGAGGCGUUAAAGAAUGUCAACAGCAAGCACAGAAACGUUGAGUGCUGAUCUGCUGAGUGUGAACAAAGCGUCCAUUAAUCCAGACUUUAUGUAGCUGUUAGUUGUCAUGUCAUUCUGGACAGAGAGAGAGCGAGGCGGCUGCACUUCUAAUGACUGGCAGAGCACAAAUUGCGUGGAGGUGAACUAUGGAGUGGAAAUGAAAUAAGAUGUCAUCCAGAAAAUCACAAGGUUGACCAAUCAAAUUAGAGCAGAGUCGACUUUGUGGUAAACGAUGACAAAGAGCAGAGUAUUCACUUACUUUCUUUAUUACUGAAAACAUGAUUUGACGUCGUAAAUACACCUUAAGACAGCAGCACACGGCACACUAAUCCAAGCUUUUAUUUAUAGAAAUAGAAAACUUUGCUCCACCACUUCUUUUUUUUUUCUGUUUGAAGUUCCAAUUUGCUGCCUUCUUUCUGGAGAACGGUAUUAAUCUGUCACAAUAGGGAGCAGACACUCAGAAGGCUUAAUGACAGCGUUUUGUGCAGCAGUCUCUUUUUUCCCUUUGUUCUGUCAUUUAGUGAGAGCUUUUACUGCCGAAUAUUGGACAAGAUUCAAUCACAGUUUAAUUGCAUGUUCCCCGGCAUUUCAACCUUAAUUGCGAGACGCAAAAAUAGCAAUUUAAUUAUUGAUCAUAACGGCACACAUGCUGAAAUGCUCCCGAUAGUUUUUUUUUUUUUUUUUUAAUGUUUUUUUCCCUUAACAAAAAAAAAGAAAAAGUCUGAUUGCAAUCCAAAGUCCACGGCUCAGGAGGAAAACGGUGCUUGUUUAAUGCUGCCCCUAAUUCCAGACUGAGCCGGAAUCAAUAGCACAUUUGAUUUAAAGUUUCUGUCAAAUGAGCCGCUAAUUGCUGAGGCAACUUUAGUCAAACAUUUAGCCGGCUGUGACAGAUGACAGAAACAGUUAGCUUGGCAGUCUUGCUGGGAGAUUUAGGAAUCAUGACGUUAAAAUACAAUCAUAAUCCUAAUCAUGCGGCACUCCAUUUAUCACUUGUCAUAACAUCAAAUUAACACAUAUUGGUUUGUUGCAUGACGGUUAAGUAAGGACAGUGAUUUUAAAGUGUGUAAAAAAGGAAGUAAAUCUGCUUUUAUGCUUUCCUCGUGUCUAUUUUAUACUGUGGGAUGGGCAUCCGGUUUGCUGGAGGAGAUGAGAGCAGGUCUGGUUUUGUAAUUCCACUCUUUGUGGCACAUGACAAGGACACUAAAUUGUCAGGUUGGGAGAAAACAAGAGCCUUCUUUGGCCUGCUCCUGAUAACAACGCAUCAUUAUUUACUCGUCAUAGGCUACAACACUGUGUUCAAGAUAAACUCAGUCUUUUUCUUUCUCCCUCCAACCCAGCGGCAAAUUUAUCUUUAUACAGACAGUCUGGCUCUCAAAGUGCCGCUGCGCAUUCAAAGUUCCUCCUUUCUUUAUUUAUUUCACAGGCAAUGUCAGGUCGCGACGCUCCUGACACUCUGCGGAGUUAACACGCAGUGGAGCUUCAAAGACCCGUCUUUCACGAGUGGGAAGAUGUAAGCUGCAAAGGUGUCUUUCUCGUUUUUUUUUUUUGGGGUGUCAAGGAGGUGAUGUAUUAUGCAGCAGUAGCGCGGUGGGUCAUGUUAUGGAAAGGACCAGCAUGUGGCCCUGACGGAAUAUGUGGUCCAAGAGGGUGAGAAGAUAGCGCUAGCUGCUUAAAUCUUUUGUCCUGGUUCUAUUGAAGAUGGGGGAGGUGCACAACAAGUAGGUGUGCCCCUUCUCCUGUUAGCACCUCUAGACAGACAGCAGCAGCAACAAGGGAUUUCUGUCCAACACUCAAGAUCCAGACCCGUUAUUAUUGAGGCAUUGAGCAAUGCUUAGAGGAUGCUCUGCUGAGACAAUGCAGGAAGGAAGUUGUCCACAGUAAGAAAUAUCAUUAAAAGAUUACGGAAAUUUUAGAUAUUUGUCACCCUAAGGUGACAUGACUCUGUAGUGGAAAUCACUGCUUUGCCUUAAAGGGAUAUUCCGGCAUAAAAUUAAUUUAGGGUCAAACACACCGUAACACCAAGUUAGACACCCCCUCGAGAGAUAAAUGUUGCCGACCGCUUGCUUCUCUAGUUCUACCAACUUUAGUAACGACCGCACGAUAGCAAUAGAAAGAGCCACAUUCUCAACCAAAACGCCACUCUAUAGCCACAAAUAAUGUUUAGAACAGCACCUAACUUCAUCAACAGUACAUAUAGGGUCCCAGCCAGAGUACUAGCCACCAAAAACCUUCUUAACUUUGCCUAAUUUCUUUCGCAAAGAGACUAAACACACCGUCUCUCUUCCAGCAGCUGCUUGUUUGUACGGAGACGUCCGGGCGAGUCCAUCGACUGCAGCGGGGUGACGCAGCUCAAGGAAGAACAUUUAUGAUCAUUUCUUUAUCUUUUCCUUGAAGUCAUAAUCAUCAUAUUAAUCAUUUUGCACUGCAGACGUGGUAGUUCUUCUACCUUAGUGUCGCUGUCUGAUUGCAUUUCCAUGAAGAAAUGAUCAUAAAUGUUCUUCCUUGAGCUGCGUCAUCCCAAUGCAGUGGAUGGACUUGCCUGGAGGUCUCUGUACAAACAAGCAGCUGCUGGAAGAGAGUAGGUGAGUUGUGUUUAGUGUCUUUGCUAAAGAAAUUAGGCAAAGUUAAAAAGAUGUUUGGUGGCUAGUGCUGUGGCUGGGACCCACUGAGCAUUUUUUGGUCUAAAGGAGGUCUAAUAGAUGUCUAAAUGUAGCCUUGAUGACUGGUCCAAAGUCAGGCUACCACAGGUCUAAAAAUGAGAGUAUUUUGGACGUCUAAAUUUAGACCAAGUUUAGACUGAAACUAAAUGUGGGCUAUAUCUAUACUAUAUGUAUAUUGCUCAAUGGCUAUCAUAAUUAUUUUGGUAAAGUACUUGGAGAAUAGUAAUGCAACUCACAGUUGCUUUUUGAAAUAAAUAGUUAUCAAAUCAUGGGUUAAAGUGCAACGUCUAGAUUCUGUCUAAAAAUAUACAGAAUCUAGACGGUUGAAAUUACGUCUAAAAAAAUAGCCGUCGAAUAGCCGUCUAUUGCUCAGUGGGGACCCCAUAUGUACUGUUGAUGAAGUCAGGUGCUGUUCUGAACGUUAUUUGUGGCUAUAGAGUGGCGUUUUGGUUGAGCGUGUGGCUCUCUGUAUCGCUUUCUGCAGUGGUUACUAAAGUUGGUGUAAAUAGAGAAGCAAGCAGGUCGGCAACAUUCAUCUCUCGAGGGGGUGUCUAACUCGGUGUUACGGUGUGUUUGACCCUAAAUUAAUUUUAAAUUAGUUUCCAAAAACCACAGGUCGUCUCUGCUUCCACAAAUGCAGGUUAAGCUGCAACAUAAAUGGAGGAAGCAAUCUAUAAACAUCAUCCAGAGGGUUUUUUUAAAGAACCUAGAGGAAUCCAGAAACUUUCCUGCACCCUGUUAGAUUAAAAAUUUUUUCAUUAUUUCUGAAAAUCAUGUAUGCUGCCUCCUCUGAUCAAAAGACGAGGACAUCUCAGACUUUAAAAAUCCUGCAUCUAUGAUGGGGAUGCAUGCGUGCUCGUGGCAUUGAUAUAUUUUAGUUAUUUAUUUUCAAUUGUUUUAUUAUCUAUCUAUUAUUAUCUAUCAUCUAUGUAUUAUAACAGGGAACAUAUUUGCAUCCCAGCAGCAGAUACUUCUUUAGAGGUGGCUCAGGUAGAGCUGGCCGUCUCUCAAUCAAGAGGUUAAGGGUUUAACCUUGCCAACACUUGGUAAAUAGAAUUAGUAUGAGGGACACACAGUUAGCAGAGGCUGCAAUGUAAAGUGCCCAUCAAUAUUAAAGGGCUGUUUCAGUAUUUUUCAAGUGAGGCUGUAGGAGUUCGAUGUCACUGGUGAGUGUACUGACCACAAUGGAUGCUGGUCAGCUCUGCCCCUUUAAUGGGAAACUACCAGUAGAAACUGGGUAUGCUACAGCUCAUCAGAUUUAGUGCCUGAAUAAUAAACCAAAAUUUAUUCUCCGUUACAGCAUCUUCUUGUGAAAAAAAAAACAGGAUAAUAAACAUAAAAAAUGUUAUUUGAGCCACAUAAAAACUUGUUAUCUGAAGGUAUUACAGGCCGCUUACAAAAAGAGUCCACUUUUACUAUCAAAACUAGUUCUUUUUUAUCUGUACACUUCCAGAGCCUGUUAAGGUGUGUUUUCAACUCUGUUUUUUCAGACAACACAACCGCGGUUUGGAGAGAUUACACAAUCCAACAGCUGCGAGCCGCAGGAGGAAACGUUUAAAAAACACACCCCGGCCUUUAAUCUUCGGAUUUUUUUUUUAAACAUUUCCCACCUCCUCAAAAAGAUAUUUUAAAAAUACAGUUUUAAAAGCUGUUCUCACACUUUUUGGAAAAGCGGUCCCAGGAUUUUUAUUUCCCUCUGAUUCUUGGUAAAUGAAUCUUGACUGGUUGUGGUGGUGGUUGGUUUCUCAUGCUUCAAGUCUGACACCAGCUGAAAGCUAAUUCGGGGGAAUUAUAUUAAGAGGAAGGCCAAAUUCUAGGAACAUUGAACAAAAUUAACGCUGUGCCCCGCGGCCGAUUCAAGCAAUUACAGGAAAAGAUUGCAUGGUUUUUGACAACACUUUGUGGGUCCUGGUGUCCUCUUUCAAGCACAUGUUCUUCAGGUUUUUCACUAUUAAUAACACAUUCACAACUUGUCAUUAAUUCUGCUUCAUCAAGGGAAAAUUAGCCGAUGAGUGUGCACUGCUAUUAUUUUCAUGAAUGGAUUUAUUAGUGCGAUGUGCGAGCUUUCCAUCGUAACAAAAAGCUUCUUGAGCUCAUUCAGUGUACGCCCUGGUAUGAAGGAAAAAAUAAGGGUUUUUGUGUGGAGGGAAAAACAAAAUACUUAUCAAAUUUGACAAGGUUAGAGAUCACAAAGCCGAAGCUCCACACAGCAUCUCUCUGCAUCCUCCGAGUUCCUGGCCCUCACAUGAGGUUUAGGUCAGGGAAAUGGGUUGACAUGGAGAUUGCAGAAACAUGACUCUGCAGUCAGUGAACCGUGUUUCCGAAGGUCAUUGUUCUACUGGGUGAUCUAACUUUAUACACCGAGUUCAGCUUCCUGCAAAGAAACAGGCCAGAGUUUGGUGUUGGUUUUCACUACCCUUUACCCUCAAUGGUGAUUUUACAGAUAUGCAGAAUUACAACUCUCUCAAAGAACUACUUGAAAUCUCCAGAGACUAGUUUGAUUAUUUUAACCAAGUUUGCUUGUAUGCUGUACUCACAUUUCUGAACAGUUCUUUUGAUCUUAACUUUGCAGCCCAGUGUGGGAUUGCUGUGGUGGGUAUAACAUCAUUCUGCACAUCAAAAUACAGAAAUCUUAAACUGCAGUUUGCAUGUUUUGCAUGCAGAAGAGACACAACGGAGCGGGGAGCGUUAUAAGCCUCUAUUUCCUUUUUUCGGAGCAGCUUGGAUUUUUUUUGGACCCAGCCUGAACUUUUCGGAUUCUGACUCAUCCUGACCCCUGAAACUUUGCUCGCUCUGUAUCUUUGAACUCUUUGGAAGUAAAGACCUUGUGAUACUGCCUGUUGAGUCAUGCACCUCAACCGCGCCUCUUUUUGCCUUUGAACUUUGACACCCAUGAAUAACCAAGACACUCUCUUCAGCUCUUUUGCAGCCUAUGCCUCAUUUUUUUGUGCCCUUUGUAGGAAGCAGGAACGUAAUUGGACAUGGGUUCUGCACUGAAGACCAUGCAUUUUAAAUGACGACCUACAGGACUUACUUUGGCUUCUGCAAGAAAAUGCAUGUCCCUGUAUGAAGACUUGGGUAACACUUUACUUGAUGCCUAUCGCUAUAACGUAUUAUGAAUAUACUUGUUGCUUCUCUGAUCUUGCAUAUAAAAAGGACCAAUCAAAGUGAUUCUGAUGUGUCUGCAUGGCCCUAAAAAUGCAAAUUCAAAAACAGUUGCCAGGAAGUGUAAGAAAUGUGUUAAAUAUGACGCACUUUUAACAUUGUGUUACGUCGCAGUACACUAUGUUACCCAGAAGAUGGCGUUUGAAGAGAGAGGAGCAGGUAGAGCCACACAUCCGCAUAAAAUCUGCAUGUUGCUGGACAGUGACAAGAUUUGGUAACACUUUACUUGACGCCUAUCGCUAUAACAUAUUAUAUAUACAGUAUAUAUAUAUAUGUGUAUGUAUAAUGCGUUAUAAACACGAUACAGCUGUAUAACUAUAGUUAUAAACACUUAUAAAAGAUCAUAAUGCUUUAUAGCAAUAAUCAUUACACAUUAUAAAGCAUUUUAUCAUGACUUACAAGGUCAGGUAUUAUAUGUUAUGAUUAUUGUUAUAAAGCCUUAUGAUAAUUAAUAAGUGUUUAUAAUGAUAGUUAUAUAAGUUUAUAAGCAAAUUAUAACACAUCAUAAAUAUACGUAUAAUUCAUUAUCUAUGUGGGCAUUGUCUGUGAGUUGUUAACAUUUAUAACACAUUAUAAUACCUAACCUUGUAAGUCAUGAUAUAAUGCUUUAUAAUGUGUUAUGAUUAUUGUUAUAAAGCAUUAUGGUUAUUUAUAAGUGUUUAUAACUAUAGUUAUACAGUGCCAUAACGUGAUUAUAAAGCUUUAUACGUAUAUAAUGCGUUAUAGAGAUAGGCGUUAAGUGUUACCAAAACUUCUCAGCAACAUGCAGAUUUUAUGUGGAUGAAUAGCUCUACCUGCUCUGCUCUGUUCAAACGCCAUCUUCUGGGUAACAUAGCGUACUGCAAUAUAACACCAUACCUCUCUGAGCAUUUGACACUGGUGUAUUAUUUGCAAUGUUAAAAGUUCAUCUUUUUAAACAUAUUUAACACGCUUACUGGUAUCUGUUAUUCUGUUAACUAAUAUCAUGUUUCCCAUGUUGCUCCUCUGGUUUUCCUUCUCUCCCUCAAAUCCUCUCCUAUCCAGGCAGUUUUAGGAGCUUCGGGCCAUGCAGACACCUCAGAACCAUUUUGAUUGGUCCUAUUUCAAUGCAAGACUACAGCAGCAACAAGUUUAGUCUAGAUAAAACUUUACAGAUAAAAUCUUGUGAUGCUUUGAACAAAGACGCACUUACUUUACAUCCUGCAUACAGUCCAUAACUACACUGUAAUUAGAGUGAAAAUGGGCUGAACAAUAGGCUGACGUGUCUCUCAGCAUUACACAUUAUUUCAGCAUAAAGAUGACUGUGAAAUGUGUCUGUCUCCCCCUUAAUCUUUCAUUGUAAAACCCUUUUCUAUACAGAUGAGAAGCUCCUACUGUUCCUGAUCCUAACCAAAUCACACACAUCUACGAUUCUCGAAGGAUUUUCCAGUUUUCAAAGCGACAGAAAUAACCUGGUGGGAGCAGUUGUGUGGGAGCGGAGUGUUACAACGAGACAGACUCAUAUUUGGAUUUGAAUCUACCUACUGUACUGCUACGUUAUUUUACUAUCUUGACAGUAAAUGCCAAGCAAAGGCAGAGUGUGUCUCCUUUACUAACCCUCAGCUGGAUUUUCCAAACCAGGUCUGACCUGGUGACAUUUUAAUCUCAAACUUCUGUCUUGAAAUAUUAACUGCCUGUGCUGCAGCUACUCUUGCAGCAGCAGGAAUAGACCACUCAGAGAGCCGGGGGAAUAUUCAAAUUCAGGCUACAGGAUUUAAGCAGAGCACUGAGUCAAGUGUUUUAUUUGGGUGUUGCAGGAGUGGAGAUUGUCAUCGCGCAGAAGAGCACAUCAUCAUCAUGCUUCUUUAUUUUCAACAAGGACCAUUUGGAUUGUAAUAUCAUCCAUUGUUAUCCUGAUUCAUCCAUCUGCGGUUUCCAUGGUGAAAACUGUGAGAAGCAGAGCCCACACACAAGGACUUGUCAGCAGUCAUGAAUAUUUCUCAUUGAACUCAGCCUGCUGAAGGGGGAAGAAAAAACAUGCGUAUUCCAGCAUGUGUCCUCAGACGAUGAGCAAACAUGAAAAGCCUCUUUAAUCAUCAAUGAUUUGAAUUUAAAUCUUCUUUAAAGUGUUUUUAAACGUCAUUGCAAAUGCUCCACCGACAAAAAAGUUGCUUCAACGGUUUGCUCCGGUGUGACAGCCGUGUCGUUACCUCGAAACAAAGCUCAGCGAGUUUGGCAAAUAUUUCCAACAGGGCGGAAAAAUCGAUCAGUCGUGCAAAAUUUUCAACACUUGCCGCCGCAAAUGGGAUCCGUGUUCACUCUAAUUACUUUUUACAAGCGUCCCACAGCAGCAAGACUGUGCUCGAUUUGAUGUCUGCAGAGAUGGAGGGUUAACGAUCAAUGGAUGUGACAUAGUUAAUUAGCCACUUAGAAGACCAUAUAUGAAAGUUAUGAUUCUUCAGAGGUAAACGUUUUCAAGUAAAGGAUUAUAAGAGAUGUUGUAGCCAAGGGUCUGCCAACAAGAAACACUCCCAGCAGGAGUUACAGGAAGACGGCAGGAGUGGGUUUAACGUCUGCUGUCAUCCACCAGGGCUUCAACCCAAAACCUGUCUGUCUGUCUGUCUGUCUGUCUGUCUGUCUAUCUAUCUAUCUAUCUAUCUAUCUAUCUAUCUAUCUAUCUAUCUAUCUAUCUAUCAUGUACAAAGCAAUAAAUAAUGUAUUGCCUGUAAAUAUCCAAAAAAUGCUUUUUAACAGAGCUGGGGGUUAUCAUCUGAGAGGGGACUUAAACUUAAAGAAUCACUGGGUUUAACUUCAACGAUGAUCCACCAGGGCUUCAACCCAAAACCAACCAACCAACCAACCAACCAACCAACCAACCAACCAACCAAAAAUUGUUUUUAACAGAGCUGGGGGUUACCAUCUGAGAGGGGACUUAAACUCAAAACAUCAGCGGGUACAUACAAUAAAAUGUUUUUGUUUUUCUGUUUGUGAAGUAAGGUUGUGGAACAGAUAAGGUGUGGAGUUCAAGAAAUGUCCAAGCAUGACCAAGUGUCAAAAGUGGUACAAACACACGAGUCUCACCAGGUACAGGGAGGAAGAAGGGCUCUUACCAUCGGGUGUUUUCAUAAAUUAUUUAUGUUUACUCUAUUUAUGUUUUAUUUUUUAUCAAUAUAAUGUAAAUAUAUUGAAAAAAAAGCAUAAUGCUUCAUCCUACUCCUUUUCCGACAUGUUGGGUUCGUAUUAUUAUUGUUAGUAUUUUUUAAAAAAAAAUAUUUUUUUUGCUUUGAUUAUUGUUAUUGUUGUUUUGAAUAUUUUUAUUGGUUCUGUUUGUUUGUUUUCAGUUUACUUUCUUGUGUUGCACGCACAUGUUCGAAAAAAAAAAUAUCGAUCCCAACCCAACCCCUCAUUCCCACCCCAUAAUCUAACCACAACAGGAAUGUGCGCACCGAUGAAACGCCAUCUUAACAUUCAAGAUCAAGAAAAUACUGGAGGUUUUGGUUAAAAUCUAAAAACAAAGUAACAUAGAAUGAAAUUUAAGAAAUAAUAAAUAAAAUGAAAUAAAAACAUCAGUAAAAGAUACUAAAAUAAAAGCACCAUAAUAGCUCAAUAAAAGAUUAUUCUGUCAUUAAAACUAGAAAGAGAUAAAUGCUAAAAACACUUCAACAAAGUUAAUGAUAUAAAAUUUAGAACAAAAUAAAACAAGACUAAAAAGGUACAUUUUGAGGGUUUUAAAAUCAUUGUACUGCCAUACCAGGGAGCUCACAGUGAAGCUCUCAGUGCUUCACAUACUUAAGUAUCUCUCUCAACCUAUGAUGGAUUCUACUGAUUCCCCCAAAGGUCCCCUGAGGUUCCCCUUCUUUUGAGUACUCAUUGCACAGAAGCUCAGCCUAAGCACAAUGCCUUGACAAGGCUUUUACAUGCAAAUCUGAUGUUUACAGCGGCAUUCAAUUUCAACUUAAUCAACAGAUUGCUUGUUGUUACGGCACACUCAGCUUGAGAUUCUGAUUAACAGCAACAUGACGGAUAAACAUCCGAGCACAAGAGGGGAGUAAGGUUGUAAAGGACUCUACGGUUGACAGCAGGCAAGCCGGGGCCCGUACAGUUCUGACUGCUGCAUGGAUGCGUGGAUACAGUACAGCCUCCGGGCAUGAGCUCAUGCUCCUUUGCUCGCUGAUUGACUGGAGAGUCAUCGAACUGAAAGACGACUUGACAUUCUGUCUAAGAGCGUGGCACGGAUUGAUAAUAAGCUUUUCUGUCCUUGGAUCCUUCAUGCAUUAUUGACACUUGAGCUGCAUGUGAGAGGACUCAUCUUAUAUCUUUUUUAUGUGCAACUGGCUCAGAAGUUUAUAAGACUACAAUAACUACGCUGAAACAGCCGGCCUUUUACCCACUAAUGGAGGAUGACUACUUAUAAAGCUCUGAGCAGAAGAUGAACCUUGUCACCCCAUGGCUUACCUAUACCAUAUGCACUUACUUUGGUUCCAAAUCAUGAAAAAACACCAUGUAAAAGCCUGAGGAAUUCUCUUAAUGCAGCGUUAAACUAUUUAUGAAAUAUUUUGGAUGCGGGAAAGGAAGGGUAAGUAAAUACACUUCUUUUGAAGCUUUAAAUAAAGGUGAAAAUGCUAAUGUGUCAGCGGCUGCUGAAUGUUCAACCUUAGUUUCAGGGCCAGCGAUGGAAAUGGAACCAUGGAAGGAGAAGAAGAAGGCAGUGCCAACAAUAAUUCACUGAGACAAGUGUAAAGUGAAGACAGCCCCAGGGAGAAAACAGGAUUACUAGUUAAUUCAGCUUUGUGUGUGUUAAAUUGGCUGGAAGAGAGUGGCUGUGAGUACUGUGUGUAUGUGGUUGUGUGUAGUCCCAGCACAUGCAAGUUUGAGUCAGCCCGCAUAUGUUCGGAAAGAGCGUGUUCAGGUUGAGAGGAAACUGAGGUCGGGAGGUCAAAUGGGGUUCAAAUGCUGCUAAAUCUGUUCCCUCACAAGCAAAGUGAAAAAUUAGGGGUCUUAGUGAUUCAUCAGAGCAGAUUUGACUCCAGAAGAACAGGUCAAGGUGUGCUAUGUUGACGUAAAUAGAGUACGACUCACACACAAACGCCAACUCAACUCUCAAACUUUCUUGUGAACAAAAUCCUUAAAUGGCACAAAACUGGCAUCAAGUUUCUAAACUAAAAACAGAACUUUUUUAGGGGGAAAGUUUUACGCCAUUUUUAAUCUAAAACAAAAGGCGUAAAAAAGUUCGUAAGGUGGCGAAAUACGACAGUAAAAAUGGAUAAACAUGACACCGGUAACAAGAGCUAGAGACGAGGGGAGCCAAAUUGCAACAGCCAGUGUGUUUACAUGCACAGCUUAAUCGGACUAAGCUUAUAAUUCGUUUUUUUUUUUCGCUGAAUCGGACUUCGCUCCUUGUCCGUGUAUACAUGCAGCUGAGAAAAUCAAAUUAUUGACAUGAACGUGUCCUCCUUCCCAAAACUAGGGGGCGAUAUGGGUCUUUUUAGCAGCGCUGUUUCCGACCUCAUACAACCGUCAACAACAAGAGCAGGUCCGUGACAGACGUCAGAAGUAGCUACAACUGCUACUGGGCAUUUUCGAGCAAGAAGACGGAGCAUCGUACAGCGUUGUUUUUGUCGUACAUGAUGUACGCGCUACUUUUUCUGCAGAUAAGGUGCACGCUACUUUUCUUCUCUGGUGUCUUUGUUCCGGGUUACAGGGGCGUGGCGCACGCGCACAUGCAUUAUUCGAUCAUACUCCGACUACACUGGUUACAUAGUAGAGAAAAUCGAAUUCCAAUCGCAUUAUCUGGGUGUCUUAAUCAAAAUUCUCAGACCCCAAUCGGAGUUCUCAAACUCCGAUUAUAGUUGGACUAAGGUGUUUACAUGCACUUCACAUGUCUGGUCUUAAUCGGAGUAAGGCAAUAAUCCGAUUUUCUCAAGUGUCAUGUGAACGUAUUGACUGUCAUCAGAACAAAAGUCAGGCUUCGACCCUGUCCACAUGGAAAAUACUUUUGUUGCUAGUACUACAAAAAGCUUUUCACGUAUUUUGGGUGACUGUAAAUGAUACUUUUUGAAAAAGGUCCUGGACUUCAUAAAUCCAUACAUGACUUUUGUUUAAUCUCCAUGGUGAUGCCUUUCAGUAACUUGUUUUAAACAUUUACUUCACACAGUGUAACUCUCUUAAGGCGCCCUUUUGCACAUGCUCAUGACUCUUCUUCUGGCUUCUGGGGCAGCGUUACAGCACCACUUACUGGCUUGGCAUACACACUACAUCGUUUUCAGUCAUUUUUAGUGGUUUCGUGUUUUAAGCAGAUAUUUCCUGAAACUACGCUGUCUUUACAGAAAAACUUUCAAAAUGAAACAGCAAUAUAUCAAGGCCUUAGUCUCCAGCUGAUACACCCACCCAGCAGAGGCCUUUUGUUAAAGAGUCAAUAAAAGAUAUGGAGAAAUCAGGGUGGCUAUACAUUUGUUAUCUUUAAAGGAAAUACAUACUCAAUUUAAUCCAGAAUUUCUUGGCCUAUCGCCUGCUUUGCUCUCUAUUUUGUAGAAGAGACACCAACUGAGAUGGCAAGUGUAGUGAAAACAGUCUUUUCAUUAAAUAAUGAGUCAGGCAGCAGUUGGUAGGGGCCUGGGGACACACAUAAGAAGGGAGAGACAGCUUGGGUUUCUCGAAUCAAUCUGUUUAUCCACAGUGCUAACCCAGUAACACUAUCGCUGGGACUGUUUUAGAGACAGGAAAGUUAUUCUUUCCUCUUACACAGCAUUAUCAGUCUAUUUGGCCAAUACCGCACUGAUAGAGUCAGAUAGUGAUACUCGCUUGAGAGCUGAGCACCAUAUCCACACAAACAAGACCACUGGAUUUGGUUAUCUAAUACUUUCAGAGUCAGUGCCCAGCCAGCAAUCUGUAUUUCUCUCUUCUUUAAACCGCCACCAGCGCUGGUUGAAAGAAAAAGGAGGAAAAACAUGCUUCAUGUCGAAAUAAUUGGCCAUCAAGAUCAAAUAACACUGAAAGCCUACGUGAUCAUUUAUCCACCACACAGCUGCGUUAAGUACUUGGAUCUGAUUGGUCAUUAGAGUAACAGCUCCUGAAAAAGGUCAAUUUGUUUUUUCUCAGUAGUCGACCGCUGCUGUGAAGAACAUACAGAUACCUGGAAUACAGCUUUACUUACUGACGCCUGAGGGCAAAAAGAUUGAUGAGAUUAUAUAAAUAUGCCGUAUAACAUAAAGGUAGCAUAGCAUGACUUCAGAGUGUGUGGUAGUGAUGGGUAUGGCAGUUCUUUUAGAUGUACUGAAUCACUGGAAUCAGUUCACUAAAAAGAUUCAUUCACCGAAUCAUUCAGCGCUUGGCUGGAGGAGCCAGCGACUCCGACUGCUGGGUGGUGCAAGAUUCAGUUCAGAUCAUAGCUUCUGGGACCGUGAGAUGUGAGUGUUGUGGCUGUGUUGCUUUAACAAACAGGUUUGUGAAAUGAAUUUGUUUAUAAAUCAUGAUGUUUUAAGUGUACUGUCCGAUGGUACUACUGAUAGCUCUACUGAAGUGAGAAACGAACAAAUCACUUAGGGUUUAGGGAAGUGAUUCAGCUCAGUACACACACUUAAAAGAUUUGGGUCUUUUGAACAAAUCAUUCACAAACAACACAACCACACUAGUGUGUUUAUUGCCUUUGACCUGAGAAAGAUGGAAGAUGUGCAGAAGAAAUGGAAGUGAUUCAGUUCAGUAUGCUCACUUAAAAGAUUCGGUUAUUUUGAAUGAAUUAUUUACGAACAACACAUCACUAGUGUUGGGUUGCCUUUGACCUGAAAAAGAUAGAAGAUGUGCAAAAGAAAUAAAGUGAUUCCGUUCAGUACGCUCACUUAAAAGAUUCGGUUCAUCAGUCACAAACGACACAACACUAGUGUUCGGUUGCCUUUGACCUGAAAAAGAUGGAAGAUGUGCAGAAGAAGUAAAGUGAUUCGGUUUAUACGUUCACUUAAAAGAUUCGGUUCUUUUGAACAAAUCUUCAUGAACAACACAACACUAGUGUGUGGUUGCCUAAGACUUGAGAAAGAUGGAAGAUGUGCAGAAGAAAUAAGGUGAUUUGGUUCAGUUUGACACUUAAAGGAUUCGGUUCUUUUGAACCAAUCACUCAGAAACAACACAACACUUGUGUGCAGUUGCCUUUGACCUGAGAAAGAUGUGCAGAAGGAAUAAAGUGAUUCGGUUCAGUAUGUUCACUGAAAAGAUUUUGUUCUUUUGAACGAAUCAUUCACGAACAACACAACACUAGUGUGGGGUUUCCUUAGACCUGAGAAAGAUGGAAGAUGUGCAAAGAAAAUAAAGUGAUUCGAUUCAGUACGUUUAUUUAAAAGAUUUAGUUUUUUUGAACGAAUCACUGAGAAACAACACUACACUAGUGUGCAGUUGCCUUUGACCUGAGAAAGAUGGAAGAUGUGCAGAAGAAAUAAACUGAUUCGGUUUAUACGUUCACUUAAAAGAUUCAGUUCUUUUGAACGAAUCAUUCUAGAACAACACAACACUAGUGUGUCGUUGCCUAAGACUUGAGAAAGAUGGAAGAUGUGAAGAAGAAAUAAAGUGAUUCGGUUCAGUAUGUCCACUUAAAAGAUUCAGUUCUUUGGAACAAAUCAUCCAUGAACGAAACAGCACUAGUGUGUGGUUGCCUUGGACCUGAGAAAGAUGGAAGAUGUGCAGAAGAAAUAAAGUGAUUCAGAUCAGUAGGUUCACUGAAAAGACUCGGUUCUUUUGAACGAAUCAUUCAUGAAUGACACAGAAAGAAAAAGAAAGCUACAUAACUGGACCUCAUAAAAAGUGCAAAUGCUGAUGCCUUACAAAGGGAUAGCUGGAAAAACUUCACAAACUGCAUACAAAAGCUAGCAGACCAUUUUUUGUUUGACUUUUUUGUGAAUCUCCACACACGCAGAUGAAACUUGUCUUACAAAGGGAUAGCUGGAAAAACUUCACAAACUGCAUACAAAAGCUAGCAGAGCAUUUUUUUGUUUGACUUUUUUGUGAAUCUCCACACACGCAGAUGAAACUUGUAUAGAAGAAACAAAGAAAGGCCCAAAAUGAAACUCUUAAAAAGUGUAGAUGCUGUCCUUAGAGUCUAUUUUCUCUGACCUCAAACUCUAUAAAACAACAGUAUAGAUAUGAUUUGAUGCCCACCACCACCUACACACACUCAGCUGUCCAUUUCCAAGCAACAAGAAAAGGUUAAGUGGCUAAAGCGGUUCAUGUCUGAGUCUCCUCUUAAAAUAUUGCUUAUCAGGUGAAUCAUUGCGUCUAAUUAUGAAAAGUGCUGUGAUGAUUCAGCAUCAGUUACCCAUUAAAACUGCUGUAUUUACUCUGCCACCUCCACUUUGAGGGGAAAAUUUGGACCGAACAUUUUAAAGCAGUUCAUACAGGAUUUGGUCUCUAUAUCAAGACAAGGUCUAGCCUGUCAGACAAGGACAGGCUGAAAAAAAAUAGUAGGAAAUGAGUUUUUCUAACCUAAUUCACAAACCUAAAGUAACAGGGUGAAUAUUUCACAGAAAUAUUUACGCUUUAAAAUAGCUUUGAAAAUAUGUCUUUUCAAUGCACCCACCUGUUUGAAUAACCUUUGAAACUCUGGCUGUAGCAUAUAAACUCCUCUGCUUCUCGCUCUGUCCCUGAUUUGAUAGCAAUCACAAGUUCGUCACCUUACCUUGCUUUAAUUUUAAUGAAAUGCAUCCUGCUAUGCUUUCUAGUAUCCUUCAGGGAUUUUCUAUUACACAACUAAAACGCUGGUACAUCAGAGUGAUAAUAUAAUGGCAUGUGCAGAGACUAAACAUGUGAGGAUGCUGAAUAUUAAAUAAAUAACAGGCUAUCAAUAUGCAUUGCUUUUCCCUCAGGGCUAAGACAGAGAGAGAUGGAGACUGGAGCAGCGUGCAUGCAGAUGGACUGGAGGGCAGAUGCUAAAUGGAAAACUGUGAUUUAAUCAUAAAGCCCGAUGCAGAUCUGUAGGUUAAAAGGCUACAUCGCUGGAGUUGAAGAGCUUCAUCUCUCUGACAAUAAAAGUGACAGACGGAGUGACAGCUGUCUCAAAUAAACAACCCACCUGAGAUUGGAGGGGCAUCGAUUGAUCUUUACGUUUGAAAACUUCUCGAUCAGAGUCAAACCUCGGGGCGUUGCAUUUGUCACGGAUUUAUGACACUCUGUUUGAGCUCAGUGGAGUCGACUCAAAGUGCGGGUCAUGGGGAAUGAGUGAUGGGUGACAAGGGAGCAUCGUCAGUUCAACUCCCUUGCAUAAUUGCGAUUGUAAUCCCACCAUCAGAGGCAGUAAAAGAAUGGUUUAUGUAUUAUCCGUCCAGUCAAUUAUUCCAUUCAAUAUAGUAAACGUUUUUUUUUUUUCUGUAUAACUGAAAAAUAAAAAAAAUUGUGCUUUGUUUUUGUAGUUUCAGCUCAAAACAGAAUAUAUAAUAGAGAUGAAAAUGAAAACAAAAUAAUAAAUCUUAUUUACAAUUAUUGAUUUGGAGUGCGCCUGUUUUGAGCAUACGUGCAUGGAGGCUACAUUGGCCUUCCCAUGAUCCUCAGCGACAGUUACCAUGGCGAAAGAUGCGACAGAGCGGUUCGAGCGCCAAAAUCUUACAUUGUAACAGAGCUCUAGUUGUAAUUUUUUCUACAGUAAUAUCUUCCUCCUUCAGUGUGACCUUCCUGGCGGCUUUGACUAAUACAUAGGAUGCGUCCAUCUCCAUGGCAGCAGGUUAGCCUUUCUCUACCGCUCUGGCCUGGAGUUUUUGGUCCAUGUUGUUGGCUACUUUGCUGCGUAAUGCACAUGUGCGAACAGUAGAAAGGCACCGUAGGAAAUGGGGACAUCAAUAACCCGAAAACAAAAGUAGAUUUGUUAUUUUGUUUUCAAUUCCAUCUCUAUUUUAUAUUCUGUUUUGAACUGAAAAUACAAAAACAAACACUAGACUUUUAUCUUUUUGGUUAUAUAGAAAAACAAAUAAACAAAAUAUUUACUCUUUUUUCAUUUUUCGUUUGCUAGAUUGAAAGGAAUAAUUGAAUGGACAGAUAAUACACAGACCAAGAAUCCAUGUAUCAUUCAUUCGAUUUUCAAAAUAAAACCAAAAUGGAAAAAAAAAAAAACAAGAAAGCAAAUUGUUUUCUAAAUAUUUGUCUGUAAAAUGAAAAAAACAGAUAACGGCUUAUUUUCUGAUUUCCGUUUUCAACAGCUCAAAGAAAAAUGAGAUAAAUGGAUACGACAAUCUUAUCUGAUUUAGACAGGUUCGUCUGGAGAUAGUUUCAUUACCCAGACGUGAACAAUACGUGUCUCAUUCGUUCAUUCGAAAAAAAGAAAAAAAAAAAGGAAAAACAAGAAAAUGAAUUUAUAGAUAGAUAAUGACUUAUUUUCCGAUUUCUGCUAUCUUCAGCUCAAAUGAAAAUGGGACAAAUGGAUAACAACAGUUUUAUCUGGUUUGGACUUUUUCUUCUGUAGAAAGUUUCGUGACUCGGAAAUGAACGGGAAACAGGCUUUGGCGUUAUGGCUGGACCCAAGACUUAAUCAGAGCUCAUAUAGCACUUUUUUUAGGAUGGCAAAACUCAUGCAGAGAUUCCCACCACGCAACAGGAGUGCCAAGGUGCUCUGAAAUGUCUGUCAGAAGGUUCUGUGCCCAAAACAACCUGAGGAGAAAAGGACACAUAUCAGACACACAGCUGGGGGCCGCCUCCCACGAAUGAAUGAGCCGUUAUCCCUUUUUUCAUUUUCAUUUUAGAGACAAAAAUUUAGAAAACAAUUCGUUUUCUCGUUUUUUUUCUUUCAUUUUUGGUUUUAUUUUGAAAAUCGAAUAAACAAAUGAUACACAGUUUUAGGAGGUUCAUUCUCUAGUCAGUAGACGGCUUAUCUGACUUGCUUGAUUAAGUCAUGACUCAGGCACUCAACAGCUGUGAGGACCUUGUUGACCCAUCGAGACAACUCAGUUAUAUGUACUGUAUAUACUGUACUGAGCUUGCUGGUAGAUGCACCACUUAAAUCAUGGCUGCAGAACACGCACAUCCUGCAACUGCAACAUGACCCUAAAGUGCACAAAGGUGCGUGCACAGGUCAGUUUCUUGCUGCUUGCAUCUGUAUUAAUACUAUUAUUGUAGGUAUUACUCAUUGUUUGCUUAUGUUAUGGUUAUACCACUUAUUCUCAUCAAUUGAUUGAAUUGGUUGGAGGAAAAAAAGAAAGAAAAAAAGAAAAAAAAAAUAGCACCUACAGCUUGAGUGAGCUGUCACCCUGCCAAAGACCCAUGACAUAACAAAAAUACUGACAUUCACUUACUUUCUCUUGAGCUACUGAUGAUAUCUUUGCUUAAGUUGUUCAUUUUUCCAAAACUAAAAUUCCAUCUAAAGCACUACAGCACAUUACAAGUCCAGCAUUGGCAACAGCAUGAUCCCAAUUAUCUACCAUGGGGCUCUGAGGUUGAGUGGGUUGCCCUCCAAUUGGAGGAUGUGCAAAUCAAUCCCCAGUUCCCACGUUCUCCGUGUGGAAAUAUCCUUUGGCAGGAUACCGAAACCUCAAAUUGCCGCGGAGGGCAUAGCCUGGGGAGUGUGAAUGUGAGUACAUAAUUAGCCGAUUCGUGGUCUUUUGUUGCACCAAAUUAGUGUACGAAGGCCAUACCCCUGAAACAAAAAAGAAAAACCUCUAAUCUCUCAUCUUUAAUAAAACAAAUAAGCAUUUUCUCUUUUCUAUGCAUAAUGAAAAGCUUCUGAAAGCGUCAUUUGCCAAAAAUACAUCCAUGCACUGCUCAAUUACAAAACCCAAUUCCAUUGAAGUUGGGAAAUUGUGAUAAACGUAAAUAAAAACAGAAUACAAUGAUUUGCAAAUCAAUUUCAAUUCAUGUUCAAUUGAAUACACUACAAAGACAAGAUAUUUAAUGUUCAAACUCAUGUUUGAUGGCAGCAACACGUGACAAAGAAGUUGGUAAAGGUGGCAAAAAAUACUGAGAAAUUUGAGGAAUGCUCAUCAAAUACCUAUUUGUAACAUCCCACAGGUGAGCAGGCUCAUUGGGAACAGGUGGGUGACAUGAUUGGGUAUAAAAGCAGCUUCUCAAAAAAUUCUCAGUCAUUCACAAGCAAGGAUGGGGCGAGGUUCAACACUUUGUGAACAACUGCGUGAGCAAAUAGUCGAACAGUUUAAGAACAACGUUUCUCAAAAUACAAUUGCGAGGAAUUUAGGGAUUUCAACAUCUACGGUCCAUAAUAUCAUCAAAAGGUUCGGAGAAUCUGGAGAAAUCACUGCACUGUAUCAAAAACCGACAUCAAUGUGUAAAGGAUAUCACCACAUGGGCUCAGGAACACUUCAGAAAACCACUGUCAGUAAAUACAGUUCAUCGCAACAAUUUCCCAACUUCAAUGGAAUUGGGUUUUGUAUAUGUUCCCGCUACAUACAGCACCUCCAGACUCAGUAGGAAUACACGACACUUUGCUAUGUUGAGGCAGUGAAGCAAUUAAAUAUUCAGCCUGAGAUAAGCAUUAAGAAAAAAACGCACAGCUGCUCUCAUAAUCUAAACUCUCAUGCAUCAAACCACUCUUAUUGUUAAUUAACUGCCAUAUGCAUUUUUACCAAAUGGAAAAGAACCAAACGUGCACGGCUGAUAUGAAGCAGCAAACUUGUGUGCUUACAUUAGCAUGUACAUUUAAUUACUGCUCUCUCUGCCUCCAGGAUAAGUCUGUCACCGUGAAUGACUCGGCGUAUUUUUUUUUUUUUUCACACCGAGGCUGUUAGGCAGCUGUGUCGGGAUUAACUUUGGAUGAUUUCAUUGCGGAUACACAGAAGUAUUGCUAUUCCAGCAUUGAGAUGACUCACACGUAUCUAUUCCUACAUGUCAGGUAGGAUUACCAUCAAAGAGUGAGGACCGGGCCAUCCUCCCGGCUACUUCCUUAGCUUCCAAAACACUAACCUGCUACAAAUACAAGUGGUUGCAGAGUGCUGUUGCUAUGAAAUAUUUAUGUACGGUCAUUAAAUCUCUUUAUAAAAACUGCAUUUUAAUCGUACACCAUAUGGCGCCUUAAAUCAAACCUCUUCAUAACCCUUCCACUGUUAAGCACGCUCGAUGAAAUAUUGCAAAGUAGAAACUGGGUUGCUCAUGGCUCUAUAAUUGUUUUUACUCGUUAUUCCAUGAACAUUGCAGGCUAAUAUUGUCAUCUUUGCCUCCUGAAGUCCCCUAGUAAGCGAAUCUAAUUUCUUUCUCGGUAAGAUCACAUCGCCACUGCGCUCCAGAAUGAACAAUUCUCGGUUAACUCCUCUCAAGCUGAGCCUCUGCGUGGGGUUGGCGUGGAGCAGAAAAUAGCCAGAGAGCAGCCGCACUUGUCGGGGGAGACCGUACCAUCUGCUUCUGACUGUCUCCACUUACCCCCUCCUUGAGUGAAAGAAAGAGAUGAAUGAAGCCAUCAAUGAGAUCCUUGUCUUAAUCUAAUGGUUCUGCUACAGUUUCUCUCCCGAUGGCACGAAGCUCCUUCAUUCCUGAUCUCUGACAUUCACCAUUAUCUCCAAGGGUCUUACAAGCCUUGGAUGAUGGAAAAUAAGUGUCGAUCGUUGCCGUCAUGGUCUGGGAGAAUGAAGAAGCAAGCUAUGUCAUUUUAGACCAACGAAUUGGCCUCCAUUACUUUUCUAUCUGUGAGGUUAAAUGUGGCGAGUGUGCACUCAAGCUAAAGCCUCGAUGGCUUAACUGCACGUAUACUUGAGUGUGAGCUUGUUGGACUGUUGAAGUCAUAAUCUAUCUGCUACAUAGAUGCACAGAUAUGGUGUCAGAUAUACUGACCAAUCACAGUACUUUAUUUAAAAACAAGGCAGGCUUUAAUGUGAAGUUGGCCACGUCCUUUUUAGGAUUGAUAUUAGCCAUUCCACCGAAUAAAUGAACAAAUCUGGCAACUCAGUACCUUAAAAUAAAGAAACUGUGAUUAUUGACAGCUGGUGUAUAACGGUCUGUUAAGGAAACACAUACCGUAUUUUUCAGGCGAUAAGGCGCAUUGGAUUAUACAGCGCACUGUGAAUUAACGUGUCUUUGUUCACACAUAAGGCGCAUUACGUAAUGAUUGGUUUAUUGUUGCUAGCGCAUACUCCGGGCCUAGGCUGCCUUACACGAAUGCACUUCUAGUUUAAACAUUACAAUCAGGCAGUCUUGUAGACUCCUCAGGGGUCCUGUUACGGGGCCAAUCAGGUAGUGACGUUGCGUACCGUAACGCUCUGAAUAUCCAUUAAGUGGGGUGGCUUUGUUGCUUACCAAAGUUGCACUUAGACAUUUCAACAGAUAUUUGAGCGCACUGUACCACAUAAAAUCGGUCAGUAAGCACAACAAGUAAUCAAGCAUAAGGUGCGCUGGAUUAAAAGGUGCAGUGUUGAUUUUUGAGAAAAUUUAAGGAUUUUAAGUGCGCCUUAUUGUCUAAAAAAUACGGUAAAUCAUGACUUUUUGAUGAGUGAUAAGUGAUGAUAUUAGAAAAAGGUUCAAAGUUAGAGGGUUUUCAUGUUUUCUUAGUCUAGAGUGUGAGCAAAGGUCCUUACACACCGGGAACAACGCUAAUAUAUACGAUGUGAAAUACGAAACAUUCGGAGGUAAAUUUUGACUCGCCUGACUACACACAUCAAGCGCGCUACGAUUUUGUGAUUUUCCGGGGGGGAAAAAAAGACGCAUGCCAGGUGGAGGAGAGAAGACUGACACAAGAGCAGACUGACUGUUUUCAGUUCUAAUUAGACUCUAGUGUUGAGAUGGCUGUCUGUCAUGAUAGCAUGUACUGAGUCGGGGCCAGUACCAGAUAAACACAUUAAACUAUAAUCCAUAAACGUAAGGUAACAACCGAGACCUAAUGGUGCUGUGACAGCAACACGAUUGAGUUUGAGACAGUGAAAAUACAUAUGGUAUGUUGUAUCUGAACAGGUUAGCUUACGAGCUAAAGUUACUUAGCACAGAUGAAAGUUAAAACAAAGACGUUUAGCAAACUGUUAAAGCACACAAACCAUCGUCAUAUGAGAAAUCCGACGCUAUGACUCUCCACAAGUUGUCCUUCAGGUCGUUAUCUUUGUAAUGUUUGUGUUUUUUAUCAAAAAGCACUCUGUUCUCCGACACGUAAACAAUUAGCCGGUCGGCCAUGUUGGAUAUACCGGUGAAUCUGACGUCGCAACAACACGCAAUCUGAUUGGUCAGAAGUGGACACACAGUAUGCAAAACUUUAGAAGA